rnacentral:lncRNA from 1 species
AAUGGCCUCUAUUGAUUUCUUCCUUGGCAUUUUUGCUCAUAGCCACUACUGCCACGGCUGCUUAUGAGCCUUACAUUUAUGCCUCACCACCUCCACCGCCUUACUAUUACAAGUCACCACCACCACCAGAAUAUUCUCCACCACCACCUUACUACUACAAAUCUCCACCACCACCUGAGAAGUCUCCCCCGCCACCUUACUACUAUCACUCACCACCUCCUCCUAAGAAGUCACCCCCACCACCUUACUACUAUAAGUCUCCGCCUCCGCCGAAGGAAUAUCCCCCACCACCUUACUACUACAAGUCUCCGCCACCACCGGAGAAGUAUACCCCGCCACCUUACUACUACAAGUCUCCGCCCCCACCCGAGAAGUAUACCCCGCCACCUUACUACUACAAGUCACCGCCCCCUCCGCCACCUUACUACUACAAGUCUCCGCCACCACCGGAGAAGUAUACCCCGCCACCUUACUACUACAAGUCACCGCCCCCACCCGAGAAGUAUACCCCGCCACCUUACUACUACAAGUCACCGCCCCCACCGGAGAAGUAUCCCCCUCCACCUUACUACUACAAGUCACCGCCCCCACCGGAGAAGUAUCCCCCUCCACCUUACUACUACAAGUCACCGCCCCCACCAGAGAAGUAUCCCCCUCCACCUUACUACUACAAGUCACCGCCCCCACCAGAGAAGUAUCCCCCUCCACCUUACUACUACAAGUCACCGCCCCCACCAGAGAAGUAUCCCCCUCCACCUUACUACUACAAGUCACCACCGCCACCAGAGAAGUAUCCCCCUCCACCUUACUACUACAAGUCACCACCGCCACCACCUUAUUAUUAGAAGUCUCCUCCACCUCCCUCUCCAUCUCCACCCCCUCCAUACUACUAUAAGUCGCCACCUCCUCCUUCUCCAUCUCCACCCCCACCGUACUAAUAUUUGUCUCCUCCACCUCCUAAAGGCUACUAAAUAUACAAUGUGUUGUUGAAACAUGUGUGAUCUUAGUUAUGUAAGAAUAAGUGUAAGUUUGUAAGCUUGUUCUAUUUCUGAUUUUUUCUUCAUCAAUGUUUUUGUGAAUAAAAGGAUUUGAGAUGGUAAAUCCAUUUGUAAGAAGUGCUGCUCAUUUUCGUUGUAAAAGUUAUUGUAAGCAAUAAGAUCUCGUAAUUUAAGGUUUCAUAAAAGUUAUAUGUGCAACUACUUUCAAUUUCCAUUGUCAUCUUUUUCACAACCACCAAGCGUAUUACUUCUUUAUAGAUGGAAAAUGCAGAGGCAAGCUUAUUAUUCUUUAAUAUUACCAUUCUUGAUGUGUUUGUUUAUUUAGUUGAAACGGUAAAUAAAAUGUACAUGAAGUACCGCACUGCAUCCAAAUUAAAUUUAGGAUAUAGACUAAGUUCAUGUAAUCUCAAUUUUGUCACAUUAUUAUUGGAUUUUAUAUAAAUAGCUAAUUUCUUUUCCUUCCGAAUUUCGACGGGAAGGAGAAUUUAUUAAGUAAUACAGAGAAGUGCACCUAGUAAUAUUUAAAGAGGAUAUAAUGAGCACUACCUUUCAUGAUGAUAAUGCCCAUGAACAAGUAAGAGAAGCUUAGAGUUUUAUUCCUACUCAAAUCAGAUUCUACGGAGGAGUUAUAUUCGUACCUUUUUAACGCUUUACAUAUAUGAUUAGAGAAUUAUGAGGACAUAAAUUCCGCUAUAAAUUUGUUGUUAUAUUUAGAGGAGUUUACAUGACUGGAGAAUUAUACACACAUAAAUUCUUUGAUGUCCAUUUUAAAUUAUAUUCCAAAAGGGAAAAUGUUUUCCGUUUAUGGUUUAAAAAUAGAAGCUUUGUGCUUUUUUUUUUUAAAAAAAAAAUCUAGAUCAUUCAGUGAAUAUUGGUUGUUAAUUUACUGCCAAAAUACUCGUAAGUUUAUUUAUUUAUUCUGUAAUGCAACUUUUGGGAUACAUAAUAAUCAUAUAAAUAAAUAAACUAUAUUGUAAUAUAUUUCAAUUAACUUGUUGACUUGUAUGAAAAGAGCGUGUCAUUACCUUUUAUGCCUAAUUAAAUUUACAAUUUUAGUCCCUAUGAUUUUUUUUUUUCAAUCAUUAAUUCCAUGCUCUUAUGAGUAGAAACAUAUGUAGAAUUUUGAUAUUUAAGAGUUGGUGGAGUUUCUAUGAUAUUUUGUACCUGUGGCUCAUCAUUUCACCACGGUGGGCAACUUCAUGGAUUUUGUCCUCUAAAAGGUAGCACUCUAACUUAAGAUGCCAUGUUCUUCAGAAAGUUAUCAAAUAGUUGAAUAGUUAUAUUAAGUUUAUUAUUGAUAAGAAUCUUAAUUAACUAGAUAUAGUACUUAAUAUACAAUGUUUUAUUCGUGAAAUUGUUGAACUAUUUUCACCAUUUUUCAAUGUCAUUUUCAGGAUGAGCUAUCAUUUGGAAUUUCAUUUUCUAUGGACUCUCACUUUUUCCCAUAACCACUUUUUUUGUUUAUAUUUUAUCAGAUUAAUUAUUCCUUGUUUGUUUAGAAGGAGCUUUCAUAUUGGAGAAAUACAUUACGUAUCUUAUAAAUCUAUGCAUCUUUACCUUUUUUUUUCCCAAAAUAAUUAAAAAAAAAAAAACCUCACCAAUGACCAAUCCAAUGUUCAAUAUGAAAAGUUUGAAGAAAAAAUGGUGUGAACUAAAACAAAAUAUAUAAUUUUGUCACAAUCCAAGAAAAAAAAAUCAUUAUAAAAUAUAAUUAAGAGGUAGCCACCUUCUCUACAUCAAUUUGUCACAAAACUAUAUCAGUGAGAUAUAUGCAAGACUCACCCAUUGGUACAAAAGAAAAUGAUCAAAGUGGAAGCAAAAAUGUGGUGAUAAUUUAGAUGAUCUCCACUCCCCAUUUAGUUUCAUUUAUUAAGUUAAUGUUUAAUCAAGAGUCUAAUUACUCAUUUUAUUAUGUUAUUAAUCAACUGCCGCCCCUUCCACUGGUUCAUUAUUUUUUAUGGAAUACAAAAAACAGACAAUAAUAUUCUUUGACAUAGCUAGGAAUAUAGCCCACUUGCAAGAGACUUACAUUCCAUCGCUCCCUAAUUUCCCGUGUAACAUCUUAUCUUGCAUCACAUCAGAGACGUGUUCGUUUGCACAGCCAUUUCGUGAAUAUAAAAUUGCUGCCGAAUAAGCAUCUAAUCAAAAGAAUUUGUCAACGGUAUAAAUUAAAAUAUAAAAAACGAGUAAAAGAAUUUGUCAAUAGGAUAUGGGAGGCCAUGGCUUCAAUCGGUUUGUGCAAUGGUCAAUGGCAUAUUUUUGCUCAUCGUCACCACUGAAUCCACUGAUCAUUUGUGCAUGUGAGUUGUUUUUGAGCAUUUAUUUUUCCCUUUAGAAGCAUAAGGAUAAGGCUAGUCUUCUUUUUGGGAGGACUUAUUGCUUCCAUUCGUUAAAAUUGGGCAUGUAAAAUGUCAAGAAAAAAUGGCCUAAGUGGCUAGCUAGAUGAUAUAAUGGAUGGUUACUACUCAAACCUAGCAAUAAAUGAAUGUCCGACAAGCAUUCAAAUGAAUGAAUAAAACCAAUCAGAUUAGAAUAUCUAUUUAUGAUAGAUUAAUGAAAAUACGAUUCAAAUAUAAGGUAAAUAAUCUCUCCAUUAAUUUUUUAUUGUUUCAGGCAGGGUUGCCAAGCCUCUGUCCGGGCUUCUAUAAGCUCAAUUCCAGCUCUCCUAUAUGAUUGAAUUAGAUCGGGCUAGGCCCUCGGACUUUUUAAUUAAAAAAGGUCGAUUUUUAAGUUUAUGAAGUUAAUACACUCACGCUUAUACUUUAAUAUUUUUAUUAUUUGGCUUUUAGAAUAUUAACGUGUAAAUUACUUUUUUUUUUCAAGUGAAAUAAUUAUCACAUUUUGUCUUCUUAGUAUAUAUUUCUACCUUUUUGUUCCUAUAGAUAUUUCCUCAUUUCAUCUUUGGUACUAGAGCGUAGUAAAAAAACACAUGAUUAAAGAUAAAUAUGACAUUUUAACUAACAAAUUAAUUAUUUGUAUCUAAGAUCUAGCUCUAGUGGUAAAGAUCAAUUUUCAUCGAAUUCAAGUCUUGGGUUUGAAUUUAAAUGCAUGGGUAAGUUAAUAAUAAUAAUAAUAAUAAUAAUAAUAAUAAUAAUAUCAAAUUAACUAGCUUUAAUUUGCAAAGGUCUUAGAUAAUCAAUUCGCUUGUAAAAAUAUCAAAAUUUUUUUUAAUCAAUGAAAUUUUCAAGUCUCUAGUUUUAGCACAAGGAAUGAAUUAAAAGAGUAAUGAUAAAUAUUUUACAAUUUUAUCCCAAAUGAUAAGACAUGUCAUGUGUCAUGUAUUAAGUGAUUGAUGAUUUUUUUAUAAAUUUUAAGUGGAUGAAAUAUAUUAUUUCACCAACCAGUAAAUGAAUAUGACAUCAUUUGAGAAGGAAUUUUAUGGUACAAUUUUGAAAUAUUUAUCACUACUCAAUUAUAUACAGUAUAAAAAAUCUAAUAGGGACCAAAAAUAUAAAAACAGAUUAAGAAUAAAAAAUAUAAAAGUCAAUUCCUAAUUAGGAGAAUGAAAGUGUCAUUCCCCUGUAAUCAUUUCACUAGAUAUUAUGUAAAUAUAUUAAGGCAAAAUUUUAAUAGAAAAUUGGUACCCAAACCUAACGUCUUUGACAUUGCUGCCAAGAUCACUCACAACUUACAAGAAUAAAAAAUUGGUAUUAAAUUUAUUAAUGUUCUCAAGGAAUUUUUAGCUUGACUUUACAUUUCUCGGACCCAUUUGUCACAUAACACCUUAGUUCGUUAACAAAGCCCUUUCAUGAGAAUAUUAGAACUGCUGUCGAAUAAGCAUCUUAACAACCCCUUUUUGACAUACAUGCAUGCCUCCUUCUGUGAACAAUUUGAAACAUAAAAUAAAAUUUCAAUCGAUGUGAGGGUUGGAGUAUUUUAUAGCUUUUGACCUCAUUAAUUAUGAGUAAGAGAAUAUUUCUACGUCACUAAUGGUUAAAAUGAUCACUAUAUAAAGGGUAGCAAAGUAUGUUUAACAUCAAGUCAGAAAACACAAUUUUUAGGAAAUGGGAACUCGGGGACAAGCGAGGCAAUGGCCUCAAUUGUUUUGUGCUAUAGCAUUUUUGCUUAUAACCACCACCACCAAGGCAUCGGCUGAUGAUUAUGCCUCAGCACCACCACCAAAGUAUUCUUCUCCACCUCCUUACUACUACAAAUCACCACCUCCUCCUUCUCCCUCUCCACCUCCACCAUAUUAUUACAAGUCUCCCCCACCACCAUCUCCGUCUCCUCCACCACCUUACUACUACAAGUCACCACCACCACCAGUGCAUUCUCCCCCGCCACCUUAUUACUACAAAUCUCCGCCGCCACCAAAGUAUUCUCCCCCGCCACCUUAUUACUACAAAUCUCCACCGCCACCAAAGCAUUCUCCCCCACCACCUUACUACUACAAAUCUCCACCGCCACCAAAGCAUUCUCCUCCACCACCUUACUACUACAAAUCUCCACCACCACCAAAACACACCUUACUAUUAUAAAUCACCACCUCCACCAAUGAAGUCUCCACCUCCGCCAUAUUACUAUAAAUCACCACCACCACCAAAGCAUUCUCCCCCGCCACCUUACUACUACAAGUCUCCACCACCACCAAAACAUUCCCCACCACCACCUUACUACUAUAAGUCACCGCCUCCACCAGUAAAGUCUCCACCACCGCCCCCAAAGCAUUCUCCCCCACCACCUUAUUAUUACAAAUCACCACCUCCACCAGUGAAGUCUCCACCUCCGCCACCUUACUAUAAAUCACCACCACCUCCAAAGCAUUCUCCCCCUCCACCUUACUAUUAUAAAUCACCACCUCCACCAAUGAAGUCUCCACCUCCGCCAUAUUACUAUAAAUCACCACCACCACCAAAGCAUUCUCCCCCGCCACCUUACUAUUAUAGAUCUCCACCACCACCAAAGCAUUCUCCCCCACCACCUUACUACUAUAAGUCACCACCUCCACCGAAGAAAUCCCCACCUCCACCAUAUUAUUAUAAGUCGCCACCACCACCAAAGCAUUCUCCCCCACCUCCUUAUUAUUACAAAUCUCCACCACCACCAAAGUAUUCUCCACCACCACCUUACUAAUACAAAUCUCCACCAACGCUAUCUCUAUCCCCACCUCCAUCUUACAUUUAUAAAUUCCCACCUCCACCAUCUAUAUCACCUCCACCACCACCUCCAUCACUGUCACUAUUGCCUCGCUACUGUUCCAAGUCAUCACCACCUCCUGAAGACUACUAAGUUCAAUGUUCCGUCUUCAAACAAAUUUAAAAUUCAAUAAGAAUAAAUUUGUUCCUUCAGUUGCCUUUUUCAUGAAUUUUUAUGUUAAUGUUUUUACGAAUAAUUUUUAAGAAGCGUUCGGUGUAUCAUUGUCAUGUGCAAUAAAAAUUUUCUAACUUAAUGUACCCAAAAAAAAAUGUUCCACAAGAAAUAUUCUAUUGUUUUAUCACAAAUGUGUUGUGGCACAUGUAAUGCGCCUAGAUAAAGUAAUAUUAUGUCUUGAUGAACAAUCAUGCACAACAAUGAUCAUGUACAUAGUUCUUCCAAUGUCAUGAUAAUGUCCAUGCACAUAAUAACAAACUUCUUCCUUGUAAUAUCAAAGAAAAUGAAUAUACAAGCCUCUUAUUCUCUAAUCAUUCACUCAAACAACAUUGUUUUAAUUUAGGUUUUGAUCAAUCUUAAUGCUCAUAAAUGCUAACUACAAAUCAUAUACAAGAUCAACAAAAACCAUAUUUUAAAUGAAUUAGAAAAACAAACAUUAGACUUAACCAAGUAGUUAACCUUUAUUAUUCUCCUAGGUAGAUUACAAGCUAUCACUGAAAAAAAAAAUCAUCUAAAAUGGUGAACAAAUGCGCUCUAAAUCAGUUGCAUUCAUUUGUUCAGCUAAGCAAUAAAAUAACCCUUUUCCAUUUUAACUUAUAUACUUUGGCAUGGUAACUUUAAAUAACACCCUCAACUUGACAAAUUUUAAUAACCAAAGCGAUCAAUAACUGUAAAUCUUGACAAAAUUUUUUACUUUAGUUAAAGCCAUAAACAUAGUAUUAAAUAAAAUGAAAAAAAAGGCCAUAAACAUAGUGUUGAAAUACCUUUAUACUUGUGAACUAACUUUUGAUGUUGAUUAAGCUCAUGUACCCUCAACUUUUGUAUUAUGAAUAUGCUUAUGCCCUAUCUUAGGUCUCCUCUAUGAACUCCUCCAUGAACCACUUUUUUUUUUUUUUUUAAAAAAUAAAUUCAUUAUGAUACUAAGGUAUAAGCAGAAGUAAAAUUCCUUUAAUAUUAUUGUAAUCAGGAUGUGGCUACCUAGGUGAUACAUGAAUUGGUUAUUUGUACAUUUUACUACAUUUUUUUGAGUUUGCUUGCUAUUUUUCUCUUUGUUCCAAUAAUUCCCACACGAGGAUAAUCUCAUUUUAACAAAGAAAGAUACUACUGAAAUACAACAAAACAUAAAUUCUAAUAUACUAGAAAAUUUUUUUUUCUUUGCCUUUUCAUAUCUUAGAGUUAUGUUUUUAUCCUCUUGUAGUGGCAUAUAUGCAUUUUAACUAGAAUAUUCUUAUUUGAGAAUUAUUAAUAAGAGAGUGGUAGACAAAUGAUACAAAACUAUGCUGCUUCACGAUUAACAACACAUUCAAUCGAGUAACGAUAGAGAGUCAAUUCUAACACCACGAGAAAGCAAACAAAAGUUGAAAUAUUUUAGCGAAUACCUUUUAAAGUUUGAAUUAAUAAUAAAAUUGUCCCAAAAAACUGCCUUAAUGGAAUUAAUGUGGAGAUUUAGUGGUAGGGUGCAUCAAUAUCAUUUUCCAGAAAAAAAAUAGUCAAAAUAUGAAAGGUUUGUUCUGCAGGUGGUUGAUAUUGCUGUACAUUAAUAUCAAUGAUACGUACCAAAUUCUAUUAUAAAAUUCAUUAAUGUAUAAGUAGAAUAUUUAAUAAAUUAAUUCCGGGUAAAACGUCGGUGAUAUGAACAGUAGCGAAGCUGCAACCGGGUUAGCUUUUUUUUUUAAUAAAAAAAUAGUUAAUUAUAAUUUAUGAAUUUGCCUUUAUUAAUACUUAAAAAAAUAAAAAUAAAUUUAAUAGCCCACCCCGAUGCUAGCUAAGCUAAAAAUAAAAUAUAUCGAAUAAAUGGUGAAGAGAAAGCUGUAAUAAUUAUCGUAAUUACAGUGAGAAGCUGUAAUUUUCUUGAACACGCUUUGACGUACGAUUAGCAAAAAAGUCGUCUGUCUAUAAGCAAUUGGCCGUACAGCAUCUUAACUAUUCCGUUGACAUUGUAAUUAAUUAAUUGAUGACUUUUCUAUAAUUUCUUUGAACCAAAUGCAGAUAUUUAGUGGGCAACCCGCAACCCUUGCUUGGCAAAAUAUAGGAAAGAAAAACUUGAAAUUUAUAAAUGUUACAUUUUGUUUGGAUGAAUAAUUUUGAGAUAAUGUUUCAGUUUUAGAUUUUGUUACCGAUACCUAAUUAUAAUAAUAAAAAAUAUUGCAUCAUUUUUUUACCAACAGUUACAAUACAUUUUAUUUUUUUUUCUUCUCAAUAUUUAAACUCGAAUAAUCAGUUAAAAGUUGCUCGAGAAUGUUUAAAAGCCAUUUAAGUAUACCACGUCAUUCAUGUUUUGCAAUCAUUCAAUUGUUAAUAAGUUUCCCAUGUGCUGAAAAUAAAUAAAAAUGCACGUGCAUAUGUCAUAUUGUCUCCGAAACCUCACAGCGGAAUGAGUGUAGUACUUGCAAUGCAUGUACUUUAGACUUUGUAUUUCUCUUAUUUAAAUGAUCAAUAAUUUUUCUUUGUCCUUUAAUUAGACGUCAACAGUCGAAGUUGUGGGCAAGUAGUAGGCUAUAUAUAAUAAUUUCCUGGAGAUCUUCCGUCUUCUAAGACAUUGCAAAUGCCAAACGUGAUAACUAUUUUGAUAAUUCAAAUACUACAUAAAAUAUAUGAAGUGUCAGACAAGUCAAAAGAAUUGAUUCUUCACAAUUGUAUAUACGUAUACACACACUUUGCCCAAAUCCCAUUGUAUCCAGGCUGUAAUUUUUAUAUUAAACGAACAUAUUUUAUUUUAUGUCAGCAAUAUUGAUGCAGGCUGGUGGAACAACAGCUUCAGGAUGGUCAACUACCCUUCGGAUCAUUGCAAGUGGGAUGGCAUCACUUGCAAUUCAGAUGGAACCAUAAUCGGGCUAAAAUUAUCAGGGUAUGAUGUUGACUUCAAAAGGUAGUCUUCGUAAAAUUAUCAUGGUAUAAUAUACGUAUUUAUUUUCGCAUACAUAAAUAAAUAACAAAAUUGUAAUUAAUUGGAUACAACUUCAGCUUUUGGACUGGUUUGUGAAAAUCGGAAAAAUUUAAAAAUGCUCCUCUUGAACAAUCAAAAUCUACUUUAUACGUGAACAAAGGGGAUGAUUCGUAAAGAUAAUUCAUCAAUGUUUGAUUACUUUCAGAAAGAUAGACUUCAUUUGAUCUCGUCCCAAAGCAUAAUUUCACUUUGAAUUUGAAAAAGAAUAAUGAAGUUCAUACGAUGCUGUUGUGACCUUUUUUUUUUGUUUUCUUUUUUUCUCGACGUUGUUUUGUGAAUCAUAAGGGUUAAUUUAGUACGGUGGGUUCGCUUGUAUGAAGCGUACUUAUUGUACCAUUCUGUUGCAAGUAAUGAAAAAACGCUAUAAUUUUUUUUAGGUUUCUACAAGUAUUAUGUUAUCUUAUAUCUAACUGUGCAUCUCUAUUCUUUGCUCUCAGUUCAGGUUCUCUAAAAGUAUAUUAAUUAUGAAAAGCAUUAAAGGUUCCGAAACUCUAUUUUGCGGGGAAAAAGAACCUCCAUUUUUGGUUUUUUAUUAUCAUAAGAGGUUUUACUAUGCUCGUAAUAACUUAAUCGAAAUUAAACAUAUCACUGGUCUACAUUUUUUUAUCAGAUUUUGUGCCUUGCUAAUUAAGAUGAGUAUCACCAUCAAAUCAACAAGCUUAUACCUUCAAAGAAAAAUAGACUAUAAGUCGGGAGAAAGAAGAAGAAAAAAAAAAAGAAGCUUCGCAAUUUAUGCUGUUGGUUGUGAGUUCAUGAAACAAAUAAAAAUAUGAAAUCAAACAUUUAUUCAAAAUUUAAAAUUAAAAAAAAAACUCUAUAUCUACAGUAAUCUGUUCAAACCACAUAGGUGGAGCAAUAUAGUUCCAAGACGUGGUUUUAAAACAUGUCUUUGUGAUAAACAAUAUCGUGAUACUUGCGCCAAUUCCCAUGGCAAUAAUUGCCUACAUUUAUCCAAGAUCCAUGGCCAGGUUUAGAAUGUGCUAGUCUUCUUUCACUUUCAUAAAUAACCACUACUAGGUAAUCAGAGUGUCGGUCUAAAUUUUUCGGAGAUACAACGUCAAUGUAUGUGCCCGGAGUUGAAGCUGAACGCGCUUAAAUAUGUUCGGAAUUUGAAGUUGAACGCCUGGAAAAGGAUGCAGACUGAAGAAAGGCAAUUCCUGGAAUUUGUCUUUGGUAAGAAAACAUGGCUGCUUAUGCCCUUUGAAAGACUGAAGAAACCAAAUUGAUUAUUGCUGCAAUUUAGUGGCACAUGUACGAGGAGAGGCAUCCAAUUAAACUUGUUCAUAAAAGUAUUGCUGAUAGUUGCAGCCGAUCUCCAGACAAAAUCUUCGUACAAUUUUAUCCGCCAGCAAUUUCGACCAAGAGACCUUGAUGCAGUUCAGACCAAUUCGCCAGUUGAACAUCAAGUUGCCUAGGCAUUGAGAAUUAGGUCAAUAAAAUAUAUCCUGGGUCACUUACAAAAGAUGAAAUAAGUGAAAAAGGAAAGAUGACGUAAUAAUUUCUUAGUGAGAAAAGUUAGUUAAUUUUCAAUUGCUUUCAUUGUUUUGAUAAUUUUCAAAACAUUUCAUUGCUUUCAUUGCGUAAUUAAGCUUUUUUUGCUUCAAAAUAUUUCAAAUUGUGUUUGUGGGACUACUAAACAAUUAGGACACAACAAUGUUUCGUUCUGGUCUUUUUUUUUUUUUACUUUUUAAUUUAUUUUAAGAAAAUCUUUGUCCAUCUCUCAUCCUGCCAAAUAUAUCGUCUCGUCUUGUUAUCUAGAAUAAUUCUUCAUGCAUCAAUGAGUUUUGACAAAUUUUUAUCUUUUAAAAGUUGUUGUAAUUCAAUAUAGCUAAAAUCUUAAAUACAUACAUGUAGAAUAAUCUAAGCAUUACCUUAUUCGGGGAAAAUCGAGAUUAGAAUCAAUCAAAGCAAUGAUACCUUAUAUCAGUGAGAUAUAUGCAAGACUCACCCAUUGGUACAAACGAAAAUGAUCAAAGUGGAAGCAAAAAUGGAAUCCUCAAAUGUGGUGAUAAUUUAGAUGAUCUCCACUCUCCAUUUGGUUUCAUCUAAUAAGUUAGUGUUUAAUUAAGAAUUUAUUACUCAUUUUAUUAUGAUAUUAAUCAACUGCCGUCCCUUCCAUUAGUUCAUUAUUUUUGAUGGAUUACGAAAGACAGACAAUAAAAUUCUCCAAAACUGUUGUAAGAGUAAUAUUGUAAAAGUUACAUAAAAGUGAGGAUAAGGAUAAUUUGAGGUAUGUUUCAAGAUAUAAAGAUUAAAUAAAUUCUUAACUCAAAAUAAAGAGAUUUAUUUUUUUUAAAAGAGAUUAAAAUGUCAUGAUAAAUAAAUAAGGGAGGUGAUAUUCUGGGCUCUCCCCUGGCUUUUUGUGAUAACAUCUUAAAUUAAUAUAAAUAGUUAAAAUUUUAUUAAAAAAUAAAUUUUUACCUAAUACUCUUUGACAUAGCUAGGAAUAUAGCCUACUUGCAAGAGACUUACAUUCGUUUGCACAGCCCUUUCGUGAAUAUAAAAUUGCUGCCGAAUAAGCAUCUAAUUAAAAGAAUUAGGAAUUUGUCAACGGUAUAAAUUAAAUAUAAAAAACGAGUAAAAGAAUUUGUCAAUGGGAUAUGGGGGGCUAUGGCUUCAAUCGUAGGGGUGGGCAAAUUUCGGAUUCCGAAUCCGAUCGGAUUUUGGAUAAUUCGGAUUGGGAAAAAAUCCAUCCAAAUUCAAUCCGAACCUUAAAUCUGUUUCGAUCCGAGAUAAUUUCGGAUCCGGAUCAGAUUCGGAUGAGUUUGAAUUUCAGAUUAUAUUUCAAGUUCGGAUUAUAUUUUGGAUUCGGAUUAAUUCGGGUUUGGGACCUUUUUACAAUUCUCACAAAAAAAUUAUGAAAUUUAUAAUUAAUGAAAAAUAAUUUCCAUGAUGCUGUCAACAAUAAUUAAUAUUUUGAAAACGCAAUAACGGAAUUUUCAAAAAAAAGAAAAAGAAAACACAGGAACGGUAUUGAUAAAGAAUUUUCAUUAGCCAUUUGUGACUGCUAACUAAAUUGUAACAACUAAGUAAAAUAUAAUAAUAAUAAUAAUACAUGCGGGUAUAUUCAAAGCAACUAAAUCACUUGCGAAUGAUCAAGACAAAUCGUAUAAACAAGUAAAAAAUUCAAAGUUUCAAACGCAAAUCGUCGGGGGCUAUCGGAUUAGUGGAUUACCAUUAACAAGACGAGGUUUAUGUCGGUGUGAGUUGCUCAUUGUGGGUCUGGAUGAUGUCGCGAUGGCUGGGUUUGUGCCAACUAUGAUCCAGCUAGGUUUGUAUCGAAUCUGAUCUCGUCUAGAGGACGUUGUGGCGGCUGGGUUUGUGUCGAAUUCAUUCGGUUUGUCUCGUCGGCGACAUGGUUGUUGGUUGGCUCGUCAGGUUGUGGCCCGUGGGUGUGGUGUGGUUUGUUGUCGUGGAUUGACUUAUCAAAGGGCGUGCGACGAUGGUGUGUGGUUUUGUCAUUUGGAAAUUGAGUUUUGAUUUUUCAUUUUCGUUUUUUUAAAAAAAAAUUUUUGGAUUAUUCGGAUUGAACUGAAUCUUAUCCGAUCCAAAUCAAAUCCGAUCAGAUUACAAAAAUUUCAUCCGAUUGGAUUUUAAAGCAAAUCCAAAUCCGAUCCGAACAAAUUCGGAUCGAAUUGGAUUAGAUCGGAUCUAUCCGAAUCUGAUCCAAUGUCCACCCCUAUUCAAUCGGUUUCUGCAAUGGUUAAUGGCAUAUUUUUGCUCAUCGUCACCACUGCAUUCACUAAUCAUUUGUGCACGUGAAUUGUUUUUGAGCAUUUAUUUUGCCUUCGUUAAAAUUGGGCAUGUAAAAAUUUCAUGAAAAAUGGCCAAAGUGGCUGGCUAGGUGAUAUAAUGGAUGGUUACAACUCAAACCUAGCAAUAAAUGAAUGUCCGACAAGCAUUCAAAUGAAUGUAUAAAACCAAUGAGAUUAGAAUAUCUAUUUAUAAUAGACUAAUUAAAAUACGAUUCAAAUAUAAGGUAAAUAGUCUCUCUAUUAAUUUUUUAUUGUUUCAGGUAGGGUUGUCGAGCCUUUGUCCGGGCUUCUGUAAGCCCAUUUCCAGCCCUCUUAUAUGAUUGGAUUAGAUCAGGCUCGGCCCACCAGGCCGGGCUAAAUCUUGAGCUCUUUUUAAAUAAAAAAAAGUUGAAUUUUAAGUUUUUGAAGUUAAUAUAUAUACACACACACUUGUACUUAAAUAAUUUAUAAAUUUUUUAAAAGCCAAAUAAUAAAAAUAUUGACAUGUAAAAGUACAAUUUUUUUUUCAUGUGGAAUAAUUAUCUCAUUUCUACCUUUUUGGUCCUAUAGAUAUUUCCUCAUUUCAUCUUUGGUAUUAGAGCAGUAGUAAAAAGACACACGAUUAAAGAUAAAUGUGACAUUUUUACCGACAAAUUAACUAUUUGGAUCUAAGAUCUAGCUCUAAUGGUAAAGACUAGUUUUUAUAGAAUUCAGGUCCUGGGUUUGACUUCCAAUUGCGUGGGUAAGCUAAUAAUAAUAAUAAUAAUAAUAACAAAUUAACUAGUUUUAAUUUGCAAAGGUCUUAGAUAAUCAAUUCGUUUGUAAAAACAUCAAAUUUAUUUUCAGUAAUGAAAUUUUCAAGUCACUGGUUUUAGCACUAGGAAUGAAUUAAAUAGAGUAAUGAUAAACAUCUUAAAAUUUUAUCCCAAAUGAUAUGACAUGUAAUGUGUCAUUUAUUAAGUGGUUGGUGAUUUUUCAUAAAUUUUAAGUCGAUUAAUUAUAUUAUUUCACCAACCAAUAAAUGAACAUCACAUCAUUUGAGAAUGAAUUUUAAGGUAAAAUUUUAGAUAUAUAUCAUUACUCAAUUAUUUUUUAUAGUAUAAAAUCUAAUAGGGACCAAAAAUAUAAAAACCAAUUAAGAAAAAAAAAGUCAAUUCCUAAUUAGAAGAAUGAAAGUGUCAUUCUCCUAUAAUCAUUUCUCAAGUUUUUAUAUAAAUUUAUUAAUGCAAAAUUUUAAAAGAAAAUCGGUACCUAAAACUAACGCCUUUGACAAUGCUGCCAAUAUCACUCACAACUUACAAGAAUAAAGAAUUUGUAUUAAAUUUAUUAAUGUUCUCAAAGAAUUUUUAGUUUUGACUUUACAUUCUCAGACCCAUUUGUCACAUAACAUCUUAGCUGAUUAACAAAGCCCUUUCGUGAGAAUAUUAAAACUGCUCUCGAAUAAGCAUCUUAACAACCCCGUUUUUGACAUACAUGCAUGCCUCCUCAUGUCAGCAAAUUUGAAACAUAAAAGAUAAUUUCAAUCGAUGUGAGAGUUGGGAGUAUUUUAUAGCUUUUGACCUCAUUAAUUAUGAGUAAGAGAAUAUUUCUACGUCACUAAUGAUUAAAAUGAUCACUAUAUAUAUAAAGGGUAGCAAAGUAUGUUUAACAUCAAGUCAGAAAACACAAUUUUUAGGAAAUGGGAACUCGGGGACAGGCGAGGCAAUGGCCUCAAUUGUUUUGUGCUAUAGCAUUUUUGCUUAUAGCCACCACGACCAAGGCAUCGGCUGAUGAUUAUGCCUCAGCACCACCACCAAAGUAUUCUUCUCCACCUCUUUACUACUACAAAUCACCACCUCCUCCUUCUCCCUCUCCACCUCCACCAUAUUAUUACAAGUCUCCCCCACCACCAUCUCCGUCUCCUCCACCACCUUACUACUACACGUCACCACCGCCACCAGUGCAUUCUCCCCCGCCACCUUACUACUACAAGUCACCACCGCCACCAGUGCAUUCUCCUCCGCCACCUUACUACUACAAAUCUCCGCCGCCACCAAAGCAUUCUCCCCCGCCACCUUACUACUAUAAGUCACCACCACCACCAGUGCAUUCUCCCCCGCCACCUUAUUACUACAAAUCUCCGCCGCCACCAAAGUAUUCUCCCCCGCCACCUUAUUAUUACAAAUCUCCGCCGCCACCAAAGCAUUCUCCUCCACCACCUUACUACUACAAAUCUCCACCACCACCAAACCAUUCUCCCCCACCACCUUACUACUAUAAGUCACCACCACCACCAAAGCAUUCUCCCCCACCUCCUUAUUACUACAAAUCUCCACCACCACCAAUGUAUUCUCCACCACCACCUUACUAAUACAAAUCUCCGCCAUCGCCAUCUCUAUCCCCGCCUCCAUCUUACAUUUAUAAAUUCCCACAACCAUCAUCUAUACCACCUCCACCAUGACCUCUAUCACGGUCAUUAUUGCUUCCUUACUACUCCAAGUCACCGCCAACUCCUUUAUCUCCACCUUCACCGUAUUACUACAAUCACCCCCACCUCCCAAAGACUACUACGUUCAGUAUCCCUUCUUGAAACAAGUUUAAAAUUCAAUAAGAAUAAAUUUGUUCCUUUGGUUGCCUUUUUUUUUAAUUUUUUACUAAGUUCAAUGCCCCUUCUUGAAACAAGUUUCAAAUUCAAUAAGAAUAAAUUUGUUCCUUUGGUUGCCUUUUUAUGCUUUUUUGUGUCAAUUUUUUUACAAAUAAUUUGUAAGAAGCGUUCAGUGCAUCAUUUGUCAUGUGCAAUAAAAAUCUUCUAACUUAAUGUAUCCCCAAAAAAAAAAAAAAAAAUUGUUCUAUAAGAAUUAUUCUAUUGUUUUAUCACAAAUGUGUUGUGGCGCAUAUAAUGCUCCCGGAUGAAGUAAUAUUAUGUCUUGAUGAACAAUCAUGCACAACAAUGAUCAUGUACAUAGUUCUUCCAACGUCAUGAUAAUGUCCAUGCACAUAAUAACAAACUUCUUCCUCAUAAUAUCAAAGAAAAUGAAGAUACAAGCCUCUUAUUCUUUAGUCAUUCACUCAAACAACAUUGUUUUAACUUAGGUUUUGAUCAAUCUUAAUGCUAAUAAAUGCUAACUACAUAUCAAAUACAAGAUCAACAAAAACCAGAUUUUAAAUUAAUCAGAAAAACAAACACUAGACUUAACCAAGCAGUUAAGCUUUAUUAUUCUCCCUCAGUAAAGGAUACAAAGAUGUAGGUGGAUUACAAGCUAUCACUGAAAAAAUAGAAAUCAUCUAAAAUGGUGAACAAAUGAGCUCUAAAUCUGUUGCACUCAUUUGUUCAACUAAGCAAUGAAAUUACCCUUUUCUAUUUUAACUGCUUGUCUACUUUAACACGGCAACUUUAAAUAACAACCUUCAACUUGAAAAAUUUGAGUAACCAGAGCCAUCAAUAACGGUAAAUCUUGACAAAAAUUUUAGUUUAAUUAAGGCCAUAAACAUAAUAUUAAAUAAUAAAAAAAAAAGGCCAUAAACAUAGUGUUGAAAUACCAUUAUACCUGUGAACGAACUUUUGAUGGUUAUUAAACUCAUGAACCCUCAAUUUUUGUAUUAUGAAUAUGCUCAUGGCCUAUCUUAGGUCUCCUCUAUGAACCACUUUUUUUUUAAAAAAAUUAUAUUCAUUAUGAUACUAAGGUAUAAGUAGAAGUAAAGUUCUUUUAAUAUUUUUGUAACCAGGAUGUGACAACCUAGGUGAUACGUGAAUUGGUUAUUUGCACAUUUUGCUACAUUUUUGUGAGUUUGCUUGCUGGUUUUCUCUUUGUUCCAACAAUUCACACAUAGGAUAAUCUCAUUUUAACAAAGAAAGAUACCACUAAAAUACAACAAAACAUGAUCAAUUCUAAUAUACUAGAAAACUUUUUUUUUUUGUUUGCCUUUUCAUAUAUUAGAGUUGUGUUUUUGUUAUCUUAUAGUGGCAUCUAUGCAGUUUAACUAAAUGAGAAUAUUCUCAUUUGAGAAUUAUUAAUAAGAGAGUAGUAGACAAAUGAUACCCAACUAUACUGCUUCACUAUUAACAACACAUCCAAUUGAGUAAUGAUAGAGAGUCAAUUCUAUCACCAAAUGAAAGCAAACAAAAGCUGAAAUAUUUUAGUGAAUAUCUUUAAAGUUUGAAUUAAUAAUAAAAUUGUCCCAAAAAACUGUCUUAAUGGAACUAAUGUGCGAUUUAUUUGUAGGGUGAAUAAAUAUCAUUUUCCAGAAAAAAAUAUAGUCAAAAUAUGGAAAGCUUGUUCUGCAAGUGGUUGAUAUUGAUGUACAUUAAUGUCAAAGAUACAUUAAGUGCAUGCCAAAUUCUAUUAUAAAAUUUAUAAAUGUAUAAGUAGAAGAUUUUAUAAAUUAAUUCCUGUAAAACGUCGGUUAUAUGAAUAAAUGGUGAAGAGAAAGCUGUAAUAAUUAUCGUAAUUACAAUUUUCUUGAGCACGCUUUGACGUACGAUUAACAAAAAAGGUCUGUAUAUGAGCAAUCGGCCGUACAUUAUCUUAACCACCUGAUUUUGUUUUUUUUUUUUGUAAUUUCAAUCUUGGCCGUUGGAGUCAAUGAAAAGAUCGUUCAAAUGGUAGAGAUUUGUCUAUUUGAUUAUUAACAUUAUGCUUCCCGAUGGUUAUCAAAAACCCAAACAAAUUAAAGAGUUAAAACUUUUAGCACAUAAGUCCGAAUUGUUUCAAAUUUAUGUUGUUUAAUCACUAGUGAGUCUCAAAAAAUAAAUUUAUUUUAAUAUUAUAUAUUUUAUUUAAAAGAAUUAAUUUUUUAUAUCAUUUAUUUUAUUAAAAAUAAAUAUUAUUGAAUACUAAUUAUUCUCAUUUUAUUUAAUAUUAUUUAGUUAUAGGCUUAUUAUUAUAUUUAAUUGUUCAAAAAACUAAAAAAAUUUAAAUAAAAUAAAGUAAUUGAUGGUUGUCGAAGCCAACAAAAAUAAAUUCCUACUCUAAAUAAAUUGUGUAUAGUGAUUGAGCAGGGUCGUGUCCACAGAGAUCGGUAAUUAUUUAAAUCCUUUUGAAACGUAAAACGUAAAAUGGGGGAAUUGUUGACAAUAAUAAAAAUCAAAUUAAAAUAACAAGAAUGCAAAUUAAAGUUGUAAUUCAAAUUGGAGAAAGCUCUGGUUGAAGGAAUUAACUCAGCUUGAUUCGACUACUGAUCAUUGAUUCAAAUAUAGAUUAUUAUUACUCAUGAAUAGACCGGUUAUAGCUACUGAGACCCUCUAAUAGCCAAUCUCUCCUUAACUAGUCGAUAACCAAGGUACGACCGUUGGAUAUUCCCUAAUCAAUAGACAACCCUAGAUACGAUCAUAGAAUUUAAUCAAUUGACAGCCUGAAAAACCAGAAAGACCCAAAUCCUAAUCAACACAUAUGAUGAUUCAUUUAAAUUAAAUUGUUUAUUCUCACAACACAACUCUCUGCUAUGUCAUUUGUCACAAACAUUAAAUUCUUCAUACGAUGAAUCCCUUAAUUGACAAUAGAUUAAGUUGAUAAUUAAAUAGUGGCCAACUGCUGUACGGCCAAGGCGGAUGUACGGUACAGCAGAAUACAUUCCCUUACUCAACUAACAAAGUCUUUCAUUUAUCUGAAAACAGUUCCAAUUUUGAAAUAUCAGUGUCAAACUUUUCCCAGCAACAUAUUUAUCAUCUCUCCACAUUAUCCUUAACUGACAGCAGCUUGGAAGAUCUUCAAUCAGCAAGUUCAGAAAGCAAUGAACAAGUACCUUCUGUUUCUGCACACACAAAUAAUCUGCAUCAACAAGAGCAUUCUNNNNNNNNNNNNNNNNNNNNNNNNNNNNNNNNNNNNNNNNNNNNNNNNNNNNNNNNNNNNNNNNNNNNNNNNNNNNNNNNNNNNNNNNNNNNNNNNNNNNNNNNNNNNNNNNNNNNNNNNNNNNNNNNNNNNNNNNNNNNNNNNNNNNNNNNNNNNNNNNNNNNNNNNNNNNNNNNNNNNNNNNNNNNNNNNNNNNNNNNNNNNNNNNNNNNNNNNNNNNNNNNNNNNNNNNNNNNNNNNNNNNNCAGCAGAAUAAAAUAUUAUUAAUUUUAUUUUUUUUAUUUUGCUAUCUUACUAAUAAUUGGCAAUAAUAAUAAUAAUAAUAAUAAUAAUAAUAAUAUCUUUAAGGUUAAUGAUUUUAUUUUCUAAUUAAUAUGGAUAAUUUUAGAUUUUUAUAAUAUAUAUGACGAUAAACACGAAAUUAAGUAUAAAACUAAUUCUCAAAAUCCGAUUUUAAAAAUCUACUUUUUCCCUACUUUUUAAAAUCUUCAGUAAGAUAAGGUAAAUUUACCAAAAGUGAUUUCUGAAAAUAUUUAUCAAAUAAUAAAAUUAAUUUGUAACUUUUCAAAAUAACUUUUAAAUCUCGCAAAAAAAAAUCCUAAAUGAGUCCUAAGUACCUAACUUUAUGACGGUCAACAAAUAUGGUAUAAAAGUCUUCUACACCUACUGGGCAUUUGAAUGGGCCAUCUGUCUUAGCUCUUACCUCUUAAAAUGGGCUAAAAAUCAGAGAGUCAGUUAACUAAUAUGGGCUAAAAUUUGGGUACACCUCUCGGGCAUGUUAAUGGGCCAUCAUCUUUCACAGGUUUCUAAAGGGUAAAGGCUUUCUGUCUCCCAAGACUUCGACUAGUGAAAUUUAAUCGAUAUAAAUAUGUAGCUACCUAUAUUUAUAUAAGAAAAUGAUGUUCUCAUAAAUUUGCGUGCAAAGAUUUGCACAAAACGGUGCGUUUUGUGCAGCUUUAAAAAUGCUCUUCGUACGUGCACCAAACAACACACAAGCACGCCAAUUCACAACAUCAUUUUCCCACUCGCGUCUGCCUCCUUUCACUGCAACAAAAACCCAGCAGCUUCGUUCUCCACACAGCAAGAAGUCUCCUUAUUAAUAUAAUAUUAUAUAAUAAACUCAACAGAAGUCUCCUUUCUUCCUCCAUUUUUCCUCACGAGAUAGCUCCGAUCUCUCUCCCUCCGUCCUCCUUUCUUCCUUACAAGACAGCUCGGGUCUCUCUCUCUGGCCUCCUUUCUCCCUCACAAGAUAGUUCGGAUCUCUCUUUCCAGUCUCCACGCCGCUAAUAGUCCCAGUUCUAACCUCUCUCGCCCCGCAGCAACCAUAAGAUCUCUCUCUCACCCGUUUCAAUUCAUUGCUCUAAUUGAAAUCUUUAACUCGUUUAGGACAUUGUGCUGAAUUACCUAUGGAUGGUGGUGGUCUUAUGCUUGAGUGUUGUAAAUUAGAAUCAAAUUAUGCAAAACCUGAUGCCUUUGGGAAUCAUGUUUAUUUCAAGCUUCUAUGUUGUGAUUUGAUUAUUUGAUGAAGCACCUGGAAAAUGUAGUUUGCUCCCUCAAAUUAUUUUACUCUGUUGAAUAAAUUGUAUUUGCCAUUAUUUGAAAAGAAUUUAAAAAAAAAUUACAGCCCCGAAACAUUGAGCUUAUGCUAUAAUUUAAGCAUCUCCCUCAUUUAUAGCACAUUUAUUUUCAUAAUUUACGCGACAAUGGAGAACGGAGCCGAGACUGUUAGUGGCAUGGGGAUGAGAGAGAAAAAUAUGAGCUGUUUCGUGAGGUUUUGUUAGGUUUCGUGAGGGAGAAAGGAGAUGGGAGAGAGAGACGCUGAGUUUUGUUGCUCCCCUCACUUGUGUGUGUUUGGUGUUAAAACUUUGCAGCAAAGAGUGGCUUUUAUACUUUGCACAAAACGCACCGUUUUGUGCAAAGUUUUGUGCAAAGUGUUGUGAGAACAUCAUUUUCCAUUUAAAUAUUGGCUUUUCAUUUUUUUUCAAAUGAGAAUUGAUCCAGUGUGCACCAUCAUGCACAGCACAAGGUAUAUUUUCAUCAGUGGGCGCUAGGUCUCAUAGAUUGGUUCUCUCUAAUAAGAACAUGUCGUCUGUUGUCCCGCGCUAGAUCGAAUGCGUUUUCAAAUUUGUCAAAUUACAUUUUGAGCAUGUCAUAGUGGACGUUAUUACAAAGUCGUCAAUCUCAAUACAAUAAUCAUGACAUCAGGUUUUGAGAAUGUGAAUAAAACUCAUAUUUAUUUGAUAAAAUAUAAUUUAAAAAUAAAAAUAAAAUAUGUAUAUUCUAUAUAAUUUGAUAAUAAAAAAUAGAAAUCUCAUUUUUAUAUUGGGUUGGGAAUGAGGAUUCCUAUUUCUUGAACUGACUUUUAUAUCUCUCUAUUUUUUUCAUAUUUUUUAAAUUAUUCUCGUUUAAAUCACAAUUAAUUUGAUUACUGCUGUACGGCCAAGGCGGAUGCAAUAGAAUUGCACCUACAAAAGUAAAACAUAAGUAAAUCACUAUUAUUAAGUGCAAAACAUUGAUAUUAAGGGAAGUAAAUAAUGCAAAACUAGUGCAUAAAUUGCACUCUAACAGUAAUCAGUAAUCAGCAUUAAAAAUUAAAUUAAAUUAAAUUUUUUUGUUUUUAAUAUUAUUUAGUUAUAGACUUAUUAUUAUAUUUAUUCGUUCAUAAAACUAAAUAAUGUUAAAUCAAAUAAAAUAAUCAGGAAUGGUUCUUAAAAAAUUAAUAUUAUUUAUUUUAUUUUAUUUAAUAUUAUUUAGUCAUAGCCUAUUAUUCUGUUUAUUUUUUGAAAAUUAAAUAAUAUUAAAUAAAAAUCCCCCCUUUUCACAAUAGAUUCCUCCCUUCAAUACUCUCUCUCUCCUCUCUUUUAGAAUUCUAUUUAAAAUAAAAUACUAAUAUCUGAAAUAUUAAAUUCGUAAUUACAAAAAUAACCAAAAAUACAAAAUACGUUAAACUAAAAACUGCAGGUCCGCAGUUGACAGCACGCGCCCACGCCUUAUCAACAAAGUUCUUCUGACGCUCAUAAUUUCUCCAAGAGAACAAUCAUCCUUAAACAUCAUCUUAUAGCUCAAUUUUAUCAUCAAUCAAUAGAAUUACACCUACAAAAGUAAAACACAAGUAAAACAUUAUUAUUAAGUGCAAAACAUCGAUAUUAAGGGAAGUAAACAAUGCAAAACUAGUGCAUAAAUUGCACUCUAACAAAUUCCCCCACACCAAGAUGAUGCUUGUCCUCAAGCAUAUAACUCAAGACUAAUCUCAAAUCUCCACUAAAUUCUCAUCUCAACUCAUCCAAAAAUAAUUUUAAGCAAGCAUACCUCAAGAAAUUAAGUCGAUCAACAUUCGAGAGACAAGGAUUUUUAAAGCAUAGAAUCUCAUAAGAUAGAAUAAGAACAUUCAACCACCAAGAAGAUCCAUUCAAAAUUCAAGUGCAACAAGAUGUAAUAGCCCUCUCAAUAACUUCACUCCAUGCACUCAAAGUGUUUAGGGUAUCAUUUAUGCACUCAAAUCAAAUCAAAGAAUGCUAUUACCAUAAGCUUGCUCAUAUAUCACAUCUCAAUCCACAAAACAUGAAUAAAAUGAAAAAAUCUAAGGGUCUUAAAAGGGUUGUAAUGGGGUUAAAUAGGUUAAAUGAAAAAGAAAGGUCUAUGAAAGAAAAAGAGAUCAAAAUGAGAAGAAUGAACUCAUUGAAUGAACUUAUGAUAUCAAAAUGCUCCUUGGCCGUACAGCAGGAAUGGUUCUUAAAAAAUUAAUAUUAUUUAUUUUAUUUUAUUUAAUAUUAUUUAGUCAUAGCCUAUUAUUCUGUUUAUUUUUUGAAAAUUAAAUAAUAUUAAAUAAAAUAGAAUAGAAAAUGUGAGUCCUUAAAAAUAAAAAUUAUUUUUAAUAUUAUUUAUUUUAUUUAAAAGAAUAAAUUUUUUAAUAUUUUUAUUUUAUUAAAAAAUAUUAUUUAAUAUUAUCUAGUCAUAGGCUUAUUAUUAUAUUUCUUCUUUUAGAAAGUUAAAUAGUAUUAAAUGAAAUAAAAUUACAUUUUAGAAGGUCAUUAGCCAAAGCACAUAAACUUAUAAACAAAUGGAAAUAAAAAAGGUAAAUAAUAUUCAAUAAAAUAAAAUUACAUUUUAAAAGGUCACCAACCAAAGCACAUAAUAUUAUAACAAAAAUGUAAAUAAAAAAGAAAGUAAGAGAUUCAAUGAAAUUUAACAUCACAAAAGACAAUUUCAAAAAUUGGGGGUAGCUUGCAACUGUUGCAAAGUGGCUGGUUCCAUAAUUUUGAGAUAAUGUUUCGGUUUCAAAUAUUGUUAUCGAUACCUAAUUAUAAGUAAUAAAAAAAUAUUGUAUAAUUUUUUUACCAACAUUUACAAUACAUUUUAUUUUGAUUUCUGAAAAAAAUAGAUAAAACACAAAUUAAUUAUUUUAACCCUCUAUUCUCUCAAUAUUUAAACUCGAAUAAUCAGUUAAAAGUUGCUCGAGAAUGUUUAAAAGCCAUUUAAGUAUACCACGUCAUUCAUGUUUUGCAAUCAUUCAAUUGUUAAUAAGUUUCCCAUGUGCUGAAAAUAAAUAAAAAUGCACGUGCAUAUGUCAUAUUGUCUCCGAAACCUCACAGCGGAAUGAGUGUAGUACUUGCAAUGCAUGUACUUUAGACUUUGUAUUUCUCUUAUUUAAAUGAUCAAUAAUUUUUCUUUGUCCUUUAAUUAGACGUCAACAGUCGAAGUUGUGGGCAAGUAGUAGGCUAUAUAUAAUAAUUUCCUGGAGAUCUUCCGUCUUCUAAGACAUUGCAAAUGCCAAACGUGAUAACUAUUUUGAUAAUUCAAAUACUACAUAAAAUAUAUGAAGUGUCAGACAAGUCAAAAGAAUUGAUUCUUCACAAUUGUAUAUACGUAUACACACACUUUGCCCAAAUCCCAUUGUAUCCAGGCUGUAAUUUUUAUAUUAAACGAACAUAUUUUAUUUUAUGUCAGCAAUAUUGAUGCAGGCUGGUGGAACAACAGCUUCAGGAUGGUCAACUACCCUUCGGAUCAUUGCAAGUGGGAUGGCAUCACUUGCAAUUCAGAUGGAACCAUAAUCGGGCUAAAAUUAUCAGGGUAUGAUGUUGACUUCAAAAGGUAGUCUUCGUAAAAUUAUCAUGGUAUAAUAUACGUAUUUAUUUUCGCAUACAUAAAUAAAUAACAAAAUUGUAAUUAAUUGGAUACAACUUCAGCUUUUGGACUGGUUUGUGAAAAUCGGAAAAAUUUAAAAAUGCUCCUCUUGAACAAUCAAAAUCUACUUUAUACGUGAACAAAGGGGAUGAUUCGUAAAGAUAAUUCAUCAAUGUUUGAUUACUUUCAGAAAGAUAGACUUCAUUUGAUCUCGUCCCAAAGCAUAAUUUCACUUUGAAUUUGAAAAAGAAUAAUGAAGUUCAUACGAUGCUGUUGUGACCUUUUUUUUUUGUUUUCUUUUUUUCUCGACGUUGUUUUGUGAAUCAUAAGGGUUAAUUUAGUACGGUGGGUUCGCUUGUAUGAAGCGUACUUAUUGUACCAUUCUGUUGCAAGUAAUGAAAAAACGCUAUAAUUUUUUUUAGGUUUCUACAAGUAUUAUGUUAUCUUAUAUCUAACUGUGCAUCUCUAUUCUUUGCUCUCAGUUCAGGUUCUCUAAAAGUAUAUUAAUUAUGAAAAGCAUUAAAGGUUCCGAAACUCUAUUUUGCGGGGAAAAAGAACCUCCAUUUUUGGUUUUUUAUUAUCAUAAGAGGUUUUACUAUGCUCGUAAUAACUUAAUCGAAAUUAAACAUAUCACUGGUCUACAUUUUUUUAUCAGAUUUUGUGCCUUGCUAAUUAAGAUGAGUAUCACCAUCAAAUCAACAAGCUUAUACCUUCAAAGAAAAAUAGACUAUAAGUCGGGAGAAAGAAGAAGAAAAAAAAAAAGAAGCUUCGCAAUUUAUGCUGUUGGUUGUGAGUUCAUGAAACAAAUAAAAAUAUGAAAUCAAACAUUUAUCCAAAAUUUAAAAUUAAAAAAAAACUCUAUAUCUACAGUAAUCUGUUCAAACCACAUAGGUGGAGCAAUAGAGUUCCAAGACGUGGUUUUAAAACAUGUCUUUGUGAUAAACAAUAUCGUGAUACUUGCGCCAAUUCCCAUGCCAAUAAUUGCCUACAUUUAUCCAAGAUCCAUGGCCAGGUUUAGAAUGUGCUAGUCUUCUUUCACUUUCAUAAAUAACCACUACUAGGUAAUCAGAGUGUCGGUCUAAAUUUUUCGGAGAUACAACGUCAAUGUAUGUGCCCGGAGUUGAAGCUGAACGCGCUUAAAUAUGUUCGGAAUUUGAAGUUGAACGCCUGGAAAAGGAUGCAGACUGAAGAAAGGCAAUUCCUGGAAUUUGUCUUUGGUAAGAAAACAUGGCUGCUUAUGCCCUUUGAAAGACUGAAGAAACCAAAUUGAUUAUUGCUGCAAUUUAGUGGCACGUGUACAAGGAGAGGCAUCCGAUUAAACUUGUUCAUAAAAUUAUUGCUGAUAGUUGCAGCCGAUCUCCAUGAAGUACAAACCCAACGCAAAGAAACAAAGUGUUCGUACAAUUUUAUCCGCCAGCAAUUUCGACCAAGAGACCUUGAUGCAGUUCAGACCAAUUCGCCAGUUGAACAUCAAGUUGCCUAGGCAUUGAGAAUUAGGUCAAUAAAAUAUAUCCUGGGUCACUUACAAAAGAUGAAAUAAGUGAAAAAGGAAAGAUGACGUAAUAAUUUCUUAGUGAGAAAAGUUAGUUAAUUUUCAAUUGCUUUCAUUGUUUUGAUAAUUUUCAAAACAUUUCAUUGCUUUCAUUGCGUAAUUAAGCUUUUUUUGCUUCAAAAUAUUUCAAAUUGUGUUUGUGGGACUACUAAACAAUUAGGACACAACAAUGUUUCGUUCUGGUCUUUUUUUUUUUUUACUUUUUAAUUUAUUUUAAGAAAAUCUUUGUCCAUCUCUCAUCCUGCCAAAUAUAUCGUCUCGUCUUGUUAUCUAGAAUAAUUCUUCAUGCAUCAAUGAGUUUUGACAAAUUUUUAUCUUUUAAAAGUUGUUGUAAUUCAAUAUAGCUAAAAUCUUAAAUACAUACAUGUAGAAUAAUCUAAGCAUUACCUUAUUCGGGGAAAAUCGAGAUUAGAAUCAAUCAAAGCAAUGAUACCUUAUAUCAGUGAGAUAUAUGCAAGACUCACCCAUUGGUACAAACGAAAAUGAUCAAAGUGGAAGCAAAAAUGGAAUCCUCAAAUGUGGUGAUAAUUUAGAUGAUCUCCACUCUCCAUUUGGUUUCAUCUAAUAAGUUAGUGUUUAAUUAAGAAUUUAUUACUCAUUUUAUUAUGAUAUUAAUCAACUGCCGUCCCUUCCAUUAGUUCAUUAUUUUUGAUGGAUUACGAAAGACAGACAAUAAAAUUCUCCAAAACUGUUGUAAGAGUAAUAUUGUAAAAGUUACAUAAAAGUGAGGAUAAGGAUAAUUUGAGGUAUGUUUCAAGAUAUAAAGAUUAAAUAAAUUCUUAACUCAAAAUAAAGAGAUUUAUUUUUUUUAAAAGAGAUUAAAAUGUCAUGAUAAAUAAAUAAGGGAGGUGAUAUUCUGGGCUCUCCCCUGGCUUUUUGUGAUAACAUCUUAAAUUAAUAUAAAUAGUUAAAAUUUUAUUAAAAAAUAAAUUUUUACCUAAUACUCUUUGACAUAGCUAGGAAUAUAGCCUACUUGCAAGAGACUUACAUUCGUUUGCACAGCCCUUUCGUGAAUAUAAAAUUGCUGCCGAAUAAGCAUCUAAUUAAAAGAAUUAGGAAUUUGUCAACGGUAUAAAUUAAAUAUAAAAAACGAGUAAAAGAAUUUGUCAAUGGGAUAUGGGGGGCUAUGGCUUCAAUCGUAGGGGUGGGCAAAUUUCGGAUUCCGAAUCCGAUCGGAUUUUGGAUAAUUCGGAUUGGGAAAAAAUCCAUCCAAAUUCAAUCCGAACCUUAAAUCUGUUUCGAUCCGAGAUAAUUUCGGAUCCGGAUCAGAUUCGGAUGAGUUUGAAUUUCAGAUUAUAUUUCAAGUUCGGAUUAUAUUUUGGAUUCGGAUUAAUUCGGGUUUGGGACCUUUUUACAAUUCUCACAAAAAAAUUAUGAAAUUUAUAAUUAAUGAAAAAUAAUUUCCAUGAUGCUGUCAACAAUAAUUAAUAUUUUGAAAACGCAAUAACGGAAUUUUCAAAAAAAAGAAAAAGAAAACACAGGAACGGUAUUGAUAAAGAAUUUUCAUUAGCCAUUUGUGACUGCUAACUAAAUUGUAACAACUAAGUAAAAUAUAAUAAUAAUAAUAAUACAUGCGGGUAUAUUCAAAGCAACUAAAUCACUUGCGAAUGAUCAAGACAAAUCGUAUAAACAAGUAAAAAAUUCAAAGUUUCAAACGCAAAUCGUCGGGGGCUAUCGGAUUAGUGGAUUACCAUUAACAAGACGAGGUUUAUGUCGGUGUGAGUUGCUCAUUGUGGGUCUGGAUGAUGUCGCGAUGGCUGGGUUUGUGCCAACUAUGAUCCAGCUAGGUUUGUAUCGAAUCUGAUCUCGUCUAGAGGACGUUGUGGCGGCUGGGUUUGUGUCGAAUUCAUUCGGUUUGUCUCGUCGGCGACAUGGUUGUUGGUUGGCUCGUCAGGUUGUGGCCCGUGGGUGUGGUGUGGUUUGUUGUCGUGGAUUGACUUAUCAAAGGGCGUGCGACGAUGGUGUGUGGUUUUGUCAUUUGGAAAUUGAGUUUUGAUUUUUCAUUUUCGUUUUUUUAAAAAAAAAUUUUUGGAUUAUUCGGAUUGAACUGAAUCUUAUCCGAUCCAAAUCAAAUCCGAUCAGAUUACAAAAAUUUCAUCCGAUUGGAUUUUAAAGCAAAUCCAAAUCCGAUCCGAACAAAUUCGGAUCGAAUUGGAUUAGAUCGGAUCUAUCCGAAUCUGAUCCAAUGUCCACCCCUAUUCAAUCGGUUUCUGCAAUGGUUAAUGGCAUAUUUUUGCUCAUCGUCACCACUGAAUCCACUGAUCAUUUGUGCAUGUGAGUUGUUUUUGAGCAUUUAUUUUUCCCUUUAGAAGCAUAAGGAUAAGGCUAGUCUUCUUUUUGGGAGGACUUAUUGCUUCCAUUCGUUAAAAUUGGGCAUGUAAAAUGUCAAGAAAAAAUGGCCUAAGUGGCUAGCUAGAUGAUAUAAUGGAUGGUUACUACUCAAACCUAGCAAUAAAUGAAUGUCCGACAAGCAUUCAAAUGAAUGAAUAAAACCAAUCAGAUUAGAAUAUCUAUUUAUGAUAGAUUAAUGAAAAUACGAUUCAAAUAUAAGGUAAAUAAUCUCUCCAUUAAUUUUUUAUUGUUUCAGGCAGGGUUGCCAAGCCUCUGUCCGGGCUUCUAUAAGCUCAAUUCCAGCUCUCCUAUAUGAUUGAAUUAGAUCGGGCUAGGCCCUCGGACUUUUUAAUUAAAAAAGGUCGAUUUUUAAGUUUAUGAAGUUAAUACACUCACGCUUAUACUUUAAUAUUUUUAUUAUUUGGCUUUUAGAAUAUUAACGUGUAAAUUACUUUUUUUUUUCAAGUGAAAUAAUUAUCACAUUUUGUCUUCUUAGUAUAUAUUUCUACCUUUUUGUUCCUAUAGAUAUUUCCUCAUUUCAUCUUUGGUACUAGAGCGUAGUAAAAAAACACAUGAUUAAAGAUAAAUAUGACAUUUUAACUAACAAAUUAAUUAUUUGUAUCUAAGAUCUAGCUCUAGUGGUAAAGAUCAAUUUUCAUCGAAUUCAAGUCUUGGGUUUGAAUUUAAAUGCAUGGGUAAGUUAAUAAUAAUAAUAAUAAUAAUAAUAAUAAUAAUAAUAAUAAUAAUAAUAAUAAUAAUAAUAAUAAUAAUAAUAAUAAUAAUAAUAAUAAUAAUAAUAAUAAUAAUAAUAAUAAUAAUAAUAAUAAUAAUAAUAAUAAUAAUAAUAAUAAUAAUAAUAAUAAUAAUAAUAAUAAUAAUAAUAAUAAUAAUAAUAAUAAUAAUAAUAAUAAUAAUAAUAAUAAUAAUAAUAAUAAUAAUAAUAAUAAUAAUAAUAAUAAUAAUAAUAAUAAUAAUAAUAAUAAUAAUAAUAAUAAUAAUAAUAAUAAUAAUAAUAAUAAUAAUAAUAAUAAUAAUAAUAAUAAUAAUAAUAAUAAUAAUAAUAAUAAUAAUAAUAAUAAUAAUAAUAAUAAUAAUAAUAAUAAUAAUAAUAAUAAUAAUAAUAAUAAUAAUAAUAAUAAUAAUAAUAAUAAUAAUAAUAAUAAUAAUAAUAAUAAUAAUAAUAAUAAUAAUAAUAAUAAUAAUAAUAAUAAUAAUAAUAAUAAUAAUAAUAAUAAUAAUAAUAAUAAUAAUAAUAAUAAUAAUAAUAAUAAUAAUAAUAAUAAUAAUAAUAAUAAUAAUAAUAAUAAUAAUAAUAAUAAUAAUAAUAAUAAUAAUAAUAAUAAUAAUAAUAAUAAUAAUAAUAAUAAUAAUAAUAAUAAUAAUAAUAAUAAUAAUAAUAAUAAUAAUAAUAAUAAUAAUAAUAAUAAUAAUAAUAAUAAUAAUAAUAAUAAUAAUAAUAAUAAUAAUAAUAAUAAUAAUAAUAAUAAUAAUAAUAAUAAUAAUAAUAAUAAUAAUAAUAAUAAUAAUAAUAAUAAUAAUAAUAAUAAUAAUAAUAAUAAUAAUAAUAAUAAUAAUAAUAAUAAUAAUAAUAAUAAUAAUAAUAAUAAUAAUAAUAAUAAUAAUAAUAAUAAUAAUAAUAAUAAUAAUAAUAAUAAUAAUAAUAAUAAUAAUAAUAAUAAUAAUAAUAAUAAUAAUAAUAAUAAUAAUAAUAAUAAUAAUAAUAAUAAUAAUAAUAAUAAUAAUAAUAAUAAUAAUAAUAAUAAUAAUAAUAAUAAUAAUAAUAAUAAUAAUAAUAAUAAUAAUAAUAAUAAUAAUAAUAAUAAUAAUAAUAAUAAUAAUAAUAAUAAUAAUAAUAAUAAUAAUAAUAAUAAUAAUAAUAAUAAUAAUAAUAAUAAUAAUAAUAAUAAUAAUAAUAAUAAUAAUAAUAAUAAUAAUAAUAAUAAUAAUAAUAAUAAUAAUAAUAAUAAUAAUAAUAAUAAUAAUAAUAAUAAUAAUAAUAAUAAUAAUAAUAAUAAUAAUAAUAAUAAUAAUAAUAAUAAUAAUAAUAAUAAUAAUAAUAAUAAUAAUAAUAAUAAUAAUAAUAAUAAUAAUAAUAAUAAUAAUAAUAAUAAUAAUAAUAAUAAUAAUAAUAAUAAUAAUAAUAAUAAUAAUAAUAAUAAUAAUAAUAAUAAUAAUAAUAAUAAUAAUAAUAAUAAUAAUAAUAAUAAUAAUAAUAAUAAUAAUAAUAAUAAUAAUAAUAAUAAUAAUAAUAAUAAUAAUAAUAAUAAUAAUAAUAAUAAUAAUAAUAAUAAUAAUAAUAAUAAUAAUAAUAAUAAUAAUAAUAAUAAUAAUAAUAAUAAUAAUAAUAAUAAUAAUAAUAAUAAUAAUAAUAAUAAUAAUAAUAAUAAUAAUAAUAAUAAUAAUAAUAAUAAUAAUAAUAAUAAUAAUAAUAAUAAUAAUAAUAAUAAUAAUAAUAAUAAUAAUAAUAAUAAUAAUAAUAAUAAUAAUAAUAAUAAUAAUAAUAAUAAUAAUAAUAAUAAUAAUAAUAAUAAUAAUAAUAAUAAUAAUAAUAAUAAUAAUAAUAAUAAUAAUAAUAAUAAUAAUAAUAAUAAUAAUAAUAAUAAUAAUAAUAAUAAUAAUAAUAAUAAUAAUAAUAAUAAUAAUAAUAAUAAUAAUAAUAAUAAUAAUAAUAAUAAUAAUAAUAAUAAUAAUAAUAAUAAUAAUAAUAAUAAUAAUAAUAAUAAUAAUAAUAAUAAUAAUAAUAAUAAUAAUAAUAAUAAUAAUAAUAAUAAUAAUAAUAAUAAUAAUAAUAAUAAUAAUAAUAAUAAUAAUAAUAAUAAUAAUAAUAAUAAUAAUAAUAAUAAUAAUAAUAAUAAUAAUAAUAAUAAUAAUAAUAAUAAUAAUAAUAAUAAUAAUAAUAAUAAUAAUAAUAAUAAUAAUAAUAAUAAUAAUAAUAAUAAUAAUAAUAAUAAUAAUAAUAAUAAUAAUAAUAAUAAUAAUAAUAAUAAUAAUAAUAAUAAUAAUAAUAAUAAUAAUAAUAAUAAUAAUAAUAAUAAUAAUAAUAAUAAUAAUAAUAAUAAUAAUAAUAAUAAUAAUAAUAAUAAUAAUAAUAAUAAUAAUAAUAAUAAUAAUAAUAAUAAUAAUAAUAAUAAUAAUAAUAAUAAUAAUAAUAAUAAUAAUAAUAAUAAUAAUAAUAAUAAUAAUAAUAAUAAUAAUAAUAAUAAUAAUAAUAAUAAUAAUAAUAAUAAUAAUAAUAAUAAUAAUAAUAAUAAUAAUAAUAAUAAUAAUAAUAAUAAUAAUAAUAAUAAUAAUAAUAAUAAUAAUAAUAAUAAUAAUAAUAAUAAUAAUAAUAAUAAUAAUAAUAAUAAUAAUAAUAAUAAUAAUAAUAAUAAUAAUAAUAAUAAUAAUAAUAAUAAUAAUAAUAAUAAUAAUAAUAAUAAUAAUAAUAAUAAUAAUAAUAAUAAUAAUAAUAAUAAUAAUAAUAAUAAUAAUAAUAAUAAUAAUAAUAAUAAUAAUAAUAAUAAUAAUAAUAAUAAUAAUAAUAAUAAUAAUAAUAAUAAUAAUAAUAAUAAUAAUAAUAAUAAUAAUAAUAAUAAUAAUAAUAAUAAUAAUAAUAAUAAUAAUAAUAAUAAUAAUAAUAAUAAUAAUAAUAAUAAUAAUAAUAAUAAUAAUAAUAAUAAUAAUAAUAAUAAUAAUAAUAAUAAUAAUAAUAAUAAUAAUAAUAAUAAUAAUAAUAAUAAUAAUAAUAAUAAUAAUAAUAAUAAUAAUAAUAAUAAUAAUAAUAAUAAUAAUAAUAAUAAUAAUAAUAAUAAUAAUAAUAAUAAUAAUAAUAAUAAUAAUAAUAAUAAUAAUAAUAAUAAUAAUAAUAAUAAUAAUAAUAAUAAUAAUAAUAAUAAUAAUAAUAAUAAUAAUAAUAAUAAUAAUAAUAAUAAUAAUAAUAAUAAUAAUAAUAAUAAUAAUAAUAAUAAUAAUAAUAAUAAUAAUAAUAAUAAUAAUAAUAAUAAUAAUAAUAAUAAUAAUAAUAAUAAUAAUAAUAAUAAUAAUAAUAAUAAUAAUAAUAAUAAUAAUAAUAAUAAUAAUAAUAAUAAUAAUAAUAAUAAUAAUAAUAAUAAUAAUAAUAAUAAUAAUAAUAAUAAUAAUAAUAAUAAUAAUAAUAAUAAUAAUAAUAAUAAUAAUAAUAAUAAUAAUAAUAAUAAUAAUAAUAAUAAUAAUAAUAAUAAUAAUAAUAAUAAUAAUAAUAAUAAUAAUAAUAAUAAUAAUAAUAAUAAUAAUAAUAAUAAUAAUAAUAAUAAUAAUAAUAAUAAUAAUAAUAAUAAUAAUAAUAAUAAUAAUAAUAAUAAUAAUAAUAAUAAUAAUAAUAAUAAUAAUAAUAAUAAUAAUAAUAAUAAUAAUAAUAAUAAUAAUAAUAAUAAUAAUAAUAAUAAUAAUAAUAAUAAUAAUAAUAAUAAUAAUAAUAAUAAUAAUAAUAAUAAUAAUAAUAAUAAUAAUAAUAAUAAUAAUAAUAAUAAUAAUAAUAAUAAUAAUAAUAAUAAUAAUAAUAAUAAUAAUAAUAAUAAUAAUAAUAAUAAUAAUAAUAAUAAUAAUAAUAAUAAUAAUAAUAAUAAUAAUAAUAAUAAUAAUAAUAAUAAUAAUAAUAAUAAUAAUAAUAAUAAUAAUAAUAAUAAUAAUAAUAAUAAUAAUAAUAAUAAUAAUAAUAAUAAUAAUAAUAAUAAUAAUAAUAAUAAUAAUAAUAAUAAUAAUAAUAAUAAUAAUAAUAAUAAUAAUAAUAAUAAUAAUAAUAAUAAUAAUAAUAAUAAUAAUAAUAAUAAUAAUAAUAAUAAUAAUAAUAAUAAUAAUAAUAAUAAUAAUAAUAAUAAUAAUAAUAAUAAUAAUAAUAAUAAUAAUAAUAAUAAUAAUAAUAAUAAUAAUAAUAAUAAUAAUAAUAAUAAUAAUAAUAAUAAUAAUAAUAAUAAUAAUAAUAAUAAUAAUAAUAAUAAUAAUAAUAAUAAUAAUAAUAAUAAUAAUAAUAAUAAUAAUAAUAAUAAUAAUAAUAAUAAUAAUAAUAAUAAUAAUAAUAAUAAUAAUAAUAAUAAUAAUAAUAAUAAUAAUAAUAAUAAUAAUAAUAAUAAUAAUAAUAAUAAUAAUAAUAAUAAUAAUAAUAAUAAUAAUAAUAAUAAUAAUAAUAAUAAUAAUAAUAAUAAUAAUAAUAAUAAUAAUAAUAAUAAUAAUAAUAAUAAUAAUAAUAAUAAUAAUAAUAAUAAUAAUAAUAAUAAUAAUAAUAAUAAUAAUAAUAAUAAUAAUAAUAAUAAUAAUAAUAAUAAUAAUAAUAAUAAUAAUAAUAAUAAUAAUAAUAAUAAUAAUAAUAAUAAUAAUAAUAAUAAUAAUAAUAAUAAUAAUAAUAAUAAUAAUAAUAAUAAUAAUAAUAAUAAUAAUAAUAAUAAUAAUAAUAAUAAUAAUAAUAAUAAUAAUAAUAAUAAUAAUAAUAAUAAUAAUAAUAAUAAUAAUAAUAAUAAUAAUAAUAAUAAUAAUAAUAAUAAUAAUAAUAAUAAUAAUAAUAAUAAUAAUAAUAAUAAUAAUAAUAAUAAUAAUAAUAAUAAUAAUAAUAAUAAUAAUAAUAAUAAUAAUAAUAAUAAUAAUAAUAAUAAUAAUAAUAAUAAUAAUAAUAAUAAUAAUAAUAAUAAUAAUAAUAAUAAUAAUAAUAAUAAUAAUAAUAAUAAUAAUAAUAAUAAUAAUAAUAAUAAUAAUAAUAAUAAUAAUAAUAAUAAUAAUAAUAAUAAUAAUAAUAAUAAUAAUAAUAAUAAUAAUAAUAAUAAUAAUAAUAAUAAUAAUAAUAAUAAUAAUAAUAAUAAUAAUAAUAAUAAUAAUAAUAAUAAUAAUAAUAAUAAUAAUAAUAAUAAUAAUAAUAAUAAUAAUAAUAAUAAUAAUAAUAAUAAUAAUAAUAAUAAUAAUAAUAAUAAUAAUAAUAAUAAUAAUAAUAAUAAUAAUAAUAAUAAUAAUAAUAAUAAUAAUAAUAAUAAUAAUAAUAAUAAUAAUAAUAAUAAUAAUAAUAAUAAUAAUAAUAAUAAUAAUAAUAAUAAUAAUAAUAAUAAUAAUAAUAAUAAUAAUAAUAAUAAUAAUAAUAAUAAUAAUAAUAAUAAUAAUAAUAAUAAUAAUAAUAAUAAUAAUAAUAAUAAUAAUAAUAAUAAUAAUAAUAAUAAUAAUAAUAAUAAUAAUAAUAAUAAUAAUAAUAAUAAUAAUAAUAAUAAUAAUAAUAAUAAUAAUAAUAAUAAUAAUAAUAAUAAUAAUAAUAAUAAUAAUAAUAAUAAUAAUAAUAAUAAUAAUAAUAAUAAUAAUAAUAAUAAUAAUAAUAAUAAUAAUAAUAAUAAUAAUAAUAAUAAUAAUAAUAAUAAUAAUAAUAAUAAUAAUAAUAAUAAUAAUAAUAAUAAUAAUAAUAAUAAUAAUAAUAAUAAUAAUAAUAAUAAUAAUAAUAAUAAUAAUAAUAAUAAUAAUAAUAAUAAUAAUAAUAAUAAUAAUAAUAAUAAUAAUAAUAAUAAUAAUAAUAAUAAUAAUAAUAAUAAUAAUAAUAAUAAUAAUAAUAAUAAUAAUAAUAAUAAUAAUAAUAAUAAUAAUAAUAAUAAUAAUAAUAAUAAUAAUAAUAAUAAUAAUAAUAAUAAUAAUAAUAAUAAUAAUAAUAAUAAUAAUAAUAAUAAUAAUAAUAAUAAUAAUAAUAAUAAUAAUAAUAAUAAUAAUAAUAAUAAUAAUAAUAAUAAUAAUAAUAAUAAUAAUAAUAAUAAUAAUAAUAAUAAUAAUAAUAAUAAUAAUAAUAAUAAUAAUAAUAAUAAUAAUAAUAAUAAUAAUAAUAAUAAUAAUAAUAAUAAUAAUAAUAAUAAUAAUAAUAAUAAUAAUAAUAAUAAUAAUAAUAAUAAUAAUAAUAAUAAUAAUAAUAAUAAUAAUAAUAAUAAUAAUAAUAAUAAUAAUAAUAAUAAUAAUAAUAAUAAUAAUAAUAAUAAUAAUAAUAAUAAUAAUAAUAAUAAUAAUAAUAAUAAUAAUAAUAAUAAUAAUAAUAAUAAUAAUAAUAAUAAUAAUAAUAAUAAUAAUAAUAAUAAUAAUAAUAAUAAUAAUAAUAAUAAUAAUAAUAAUAAUAAUAAUAAUAAUAAUAAUAAUAAUAAUAAUAAUAAUAAUAAUAAUAAUAAUAAUAAUAAUAAUAAUAAUAAUAAUAAUAAUAAUAAUAAUAAUAAUAAUAAUAAUAAUAAUAAUAAUAAUAAUAAUAAUAAUAAUAAUAAUAAUAAUAAUAAUAAUAAUAAUAAUAAUAAUAAUAAUAAUAAUAAUAAUAAUAAUAAUAAUAAUAAUAAUAAUAAUAAUAAUAAUAAUAAUAAUAAUAAUAAUAAUAAUAAUAAUAAUAAUAAUAAUAAUAAUAAUAAUAAUAAUAAUAAUAAUAAUAAUAAUAAUAAUAAUAAUAAUAAUAAUAAUAAUAAUAAUAAUAAUAAUAAUAAUAAUAAUAAUAAUAAUAAUAAUAAUAAUAAUAAUAAUAAUAAUAAUAAUAAUAAUAAUAAUAAUAAUAAUAAUAAUAAUAAUAAUAAUAAUAAUAAUAAUAAUAAUAAUAAUAAUAAUAAUAAUAAUAAUAAUAAUAAUAAUAAUAAUAAUAAUAAUAAUAAUAAUAAUAAUAAUAAUAAUAAUAAUAAUAAUAAUAAUAAUAAUAAUAAUAAUAAUAAUAAUAAUAAUAAUAAUAAUAAUAAUAAUAAUAAUAAUAAUAAUAAUAAUAAUAAUAAUAAUAAUAAUAAUAAUAAUAAUAAUAAUAAUAAUAAUAAUAAUAAUAAUAAUAAUAAUAAUAAUAAUAAUAAUAAUAAUAAUAAUAAUAAUAAUAAUAAUAAUAAUAAUAAUAAUAAUAAUAAUAAUAAUAAUAAUAAUAAUAAUAAUAAUAAUAAUAAUAAUAAUAAUAAUAAUAAUAAUAAUAAUAAUAAUAAUAAUAAUAAUAAUAAUAAUAAUAAUAAUAAUAAUAAUAAUAAUAAUAAUAAUAAUAAUAAUAAUAAUAAUAAUAAUAAUAAUAAUAAUAAUAAUAAUAAUAAUAAUAAUAAUAAUAAUAAUAAUAAUAAUAAUAAUAAUAAUAAUAAUAAUAAUAAUAAUAAUAAUAAUAAUAAUAAUAAUAAUAAUAAUAAUAAUAAUAAUAAUAAUAAUAAUAAUAAUAAUAAUAAUAAUAAUAAUAAUAAUAAUAAUAAUAAUAAUAAUAAUAAUAAUAAUAAUAAUAAUAAUAAUAAUAAUAAUAAUAAUAAUAAUAAUAAUAAUAAUAAUAAUAAUAAUAAUAAUAAUAAUAAUAAUAAUAAUAAUAAUAAUAAUAAUAAUAAUAAUAAUAAUAAUAAUAAUAAUAAUAAUAAUAAUAAUAAUAAUAAUAAUAAUAAUAAUAAUAAUAAUAAUAAUAAUAAUAAUAAUAAUAAUAAUAAUAAUAAUAAUAAUAAUAAUAAUAAUAAUAAUAAUAAUAAUAAUAAUAAUAAUAAUAAUAAUAAUAAUAAUAAUAAUAAUAAUAAUAAUAAUAAUAAUAAUAAUAAUAAUAAUAAUAAUAAUAAUAAUAAUAAUAAUAAUAAUAAUAAUAAUAAUAAUAAUAAUAAUAAUAAUAAUAAUAAUAAUAAUAAUAAUAAUAAUAAUAAUAAUAAUAAUAAUAAUAAUAAUAAUAAUAAUAAUAAUAAUAAUAAUAAUAAUAAUAAUAAUAAUAAUAAUAAUAAUAAUAAUAAUAAUAAUAAUAAUAAUAAUAAUAAUAAUAAUAAUAAUAAUAAUAAUAAUAAUAAUAAUAAUAAUAAUAAUAAUAAUAAUAAUAAUAAUAAUAAUAAUAAUAAUAAUAAUAAUAAUAAUAAUAAUAAUAAUAAUAAUAAUAAUAAUAAUAAUAAUAAUAAUAAUAAUAAUAAUAAUAAUAAUAAUAAUAAUAAUAAUAAUAAUAAUAAUAAUAAUAAUAAUAAUAAUAAUAAUAAUAAUAAUAAUAAUAAUAAUAAUAAUAAUAAUAAUAAUAAUAAUAAUAAUAAUAAUAAUAAUAAUAAUAAUAAUAAUAAUAAUAAUAAUAAUAAUAAUAAUAAUAAUAAUAAUAAUAAUAAUAAUAAUAAUAAUAAUAAUAAUAAUAAUAAUAAUAAUAAUAAUAAUAAUAAUAAUAAUAAUAAUAAUAAUAAUAAUAAUAAUAAUAAUAAUAAUAAUAAUAAUAAUAAUAAUAAUAAUAAUAAUAAUAAUAAUAAUAAUAAUAAUAAUAAUAAUAAUAAUAAUAAUAAUAAUAAUAAUAAUAAUAAUAAUAAUAAUAAUAAUAAUAAUAAUAAUAAUAAUAAUAAUAAUAAUAAUAAUAAUAAUAAUAAUAAUAAUAAUAAUAAUAAUAAUAAUAAUAAUAAUAAUAAUAAUAAUAAUAAUAAUAAUAAUAAUAAUAAUAAUAAUAAUAAUAAUAAUAAUAAUAAUAAUAAUAAUAAUAAUAAUAAUAAUAAUAAUAAUAAUAAUAAUAAUAAUAAUAAUAAUAAUAAUAAUAAUAAUAAUAAUAAUAAUAAUAAUAAUAAUAAUAAUAAUAAUAAUAAUAAUAAUAAUAAUAAUAAUAAUAAUAAUAAUAAUAAUAAUAAUAAUAAUAAUAAUAAUAAUAAUAAUAAUAAUAAUAAUAAUAAUAAUAAUAAUAAUAAUAAUAAUAAUAAUAAUAAUAAUAAUAAUAAUAAUAAUAAUAAUAAUAAUAAUAAUAAUAAUAAUAAUAAUAAUAAUAAUAAUAAUAAUAAUAAUAAUAAUAAUAAUAAUAAUAAUAAUAAUAAUAAUAAUAAUAAUAAUAAUAAUAAUAAUAAUAAUAAUAAUAAUAAUAAUAAUAAUAAUAAUAAUAAUAAUAAUAAUAAUAAUAAUAAUAAUAAUAAUAAUAAUAAUAAUAAUAAUAAUAAUAAUAAUAAUAAUAAUAAUAAUAAUAAUAAUAAUAAUAAUAAUAAUAAUAAUAAUAAUAAUAAUAAUAAUAAUAAUAAUAAUAAUAAUAAUAAUAAUAAUAAUAAUAAUAAUAAUAAUAAUAAUAAUAAUAAUAAUAAUAAUAAUAAUAAUAAUAAUAAUAAUAAUAAUAAUAAUAAUAAUAAUAAUAAUAAUAAUAAUAAUAAUAAUAAUAAUAAUAAUAAUAAUAAUAAUAAUAAUAAUAAUAAUAAUAAUAAUAAUAAUAAUAAUAAUAAUAAUAAUAAUAAUAAUAAUAAUAAUAAUAAUAAUAAUAAUAAUAAUAAUAAUAAUAAUAAUAAUAAUAAUAAUAAUAAUAAUAAUAAUAAUAAUAAUAAUAAUAAUAAUAAUAAUAAUAAUAAUAAUAAUAAUAAUAAUAAUAAUAAUAAUAAUAAUAAUAAUAAUAAUAAUAAUAAUAAUAAUAAUAAUAAUAAUAAUAAUAAUAAUAAUAAUAAUAAUAAUAAUAAUAAUAAUAAUAAUAAUAAUAAUAAUAAUAAUAAUAAUAAUAAUAAUAAUAAUAAUAAUAAUAAUAAUAAUAAUAAUAAUAAUAAUAAUAAUAAUAAUAAUAAUAAUAAUAAUAAUAAUAAUAAUAAUAAUAAUAAUAAUAAUAAUAAUAAUAAUAAUAAUAAUAAUAAUAAUAAUAAUAAUAAUAAUAAUAAUAAUAAUAAUAAUAAUAAUAAUAAUAAUAAUAAUAAUAAUAAUAAUAAUAAUAAUAAUAAUAAUAAUAAUAAUAAUAAUAAUAAUAAUAAUAAUAAUAAUAAUAAUAAUAAUAAUAAUAAUAAUAAUAAUAAUAAUAAUAAUAAUAAUAAUAAUAAUAAUAAUAAUAAUAAUAAUAAUAAUAAUAAUAAUAAUAAUAAUAAUAAUAAUAAUAAUAAUAAUAAUAAUAAUAAUAAUAAUAAUAAUAAUAAUAAUAAUAAUAAUAAUAAUAAUAAUAAUAAUAAUAAUAAUAAUAAUAAUAAUAAUAAUAAUAAUAAUAAUAAUAAUAAUAAUAAUAAUAAUAAUAAUAAUAAUAAUAAUAAUAAUAAUAAUAAUAAUAAUAAUAAUAAUAAUAAUAAUAAUAAUAAUAAUAAUAAUAAUAAUAAUAAUAAUAAUAAUAAUAAUAAUAAUAAUAAUAAUAAUAAUAAUAAUAAUAAUAAUAAUAAUAAUAAUAAUAAUAAUAAUAAUAAUAAUAAUAAUAAUAAUAAUAAUAAUAAUAAUAAUAAUAAUAAUAAUAAUAAUAAUAAUAAUAAUAAUAAUAAUAAUAAUAAUAAUAAUAAUAAUAAUAAUAAUAAUAAUAAUAAUAAUAAUAAUAAUAAUAAUAAUAAUAAUAAUAAUAAUAAUAAUAAUAAUAAUAAUAAUAAUAAUAAUAAUAAUAAUAAUAAUAAUAAUAAUAAUAAUAAUAAUAAUAAUAAUAAUAAUAAUAAUAAUAAUAAUAAUAAUAAUAAUAAUAAUAAUAAUAAUAAUAAUAAUAAUAAUAAUAAUAAUAAUAAUAAUAAUAAUAAUAAUAAUAAUAAUAAUAAUAAUAAUAAUAAUAAUAAUAAUAAUAAUAAUAAUAAUAAUAAUAAUAAUAAUAAUAAUAAUAAUAAUAAUAAUAAUAAUAAUAAUAAUAAUAAUAAUAAUAAUAAUAAUAAUAAUAAUAAUAAUAAUAAUAAUAAUAAUAAUAAUAAUAAUAAUAAUAAUAAUAAUAAUAAUAAUAAUAAUAAUAAUAAUAAUAAUAAUAAUAAUAAUAAUAAUAAUAAUAAUAAUAAUAAUAAUAAUAAUAAUAAUAAUAAUAAUAAUAAUAAUAAUAAUAAUAAUAAUAAUAAUAAUAAUAAUAAUAAUAAUAAUAAUAAUAAUAAUAAUAAUAAUAAUAAUAAUAAUAAUAAUAAUAAUAAUAAUAAUAAUAAUAAUAAUAAUAAUAAUAAUAAUAAUAAUAAUAAUAAUAAUAAUAAUAAUAAUAAUAAUAAUAAUAAUAAUAAUAAUAAUAAUAAUAAUAAUAAUAAUAAUAAUAAUAAUAAUAAUAAUAAUAAUAAUAAUAAUAAUAAUAAUAAUAAUAAUAAUAAUAAUAAUAAUAAUAAUAAUAAUAAUAAUAAUAAUAAUAAUAAUAAUAAUAAUAAUAAUAAUAAUAAUAAUAAUAAUAAUAAUAAUAAUAAUAAUAAUAAUAAUAAUAAUAAUAAUAAUAAUAAUAAUAAUAAUAAUAAUAAUAAUAAUAAUAAUAAUAAUAAUAAUAAUAAUAAUAAUAAUAAUAAUAAUAAUAAUAAUAAUAAUAAUAAUAAUAAUAAUAAUAAUAAUAAUAAUAAUAAUAAUAAUAAUAAUAAUAAUAAUAAUAAUAAUAAUAAUAAUAAUAAUAAUAAUAAUAAUAAUAAUAAUAAUAAUAAUAAUAAUAAUAAUAAUAAUAAUAAUAAUAAUAAUAAUAAUAAUAAUAAUAAUAAUAAUAAUAAUAAUAAUAAUAAUAAUAAUAAUAAUAAUAAUAAUAAUAAUAAUAAUAAUAAUAAUAAUAAUAAUAAUAAUAAUAAUAAUAAUAAUAAUAAUAAUAAUAAUAAUAAUAAUAAUAAUAAUAAUAAUAAUAAUAAUAAUAAUAAUAAUAAUAAUAAUAAUAAUAAUAAUAAUAAUAAUAAUAAUAAUAAUAAUAAUAAUAAUAAUAAUAAUAAUAAUAAUAAUAAUAAUAAUAAUAAUAAUAAUAAUAAUAAUAAUAAUAAUAAUAAUAAUAAUAAUAAUAAUAAUAAUAAUAAUAAUAAUAAUAAUAAUAAUAAUAAUAAUAAUAAUAAUAAUAAUAAUAAUAAUAAUAAUAAUAAUAAUAAUAAUAAUAAUAAUAAUAAUAAUAAUAAUAAUAAUAAUAAUAAUAAUAAUAAUAAUAAUAAUAAUAAUAAUAAUAAUAAUAAUAAUAAUAAUAAUAAUAAUAAUAAUAAUAAUAAUAAUAAUAAUAAUAAUAAUAAUAAUAAUAAUAAUAAUAAUAAUAAUAAUAAUAAUAAUAAUAAUAAUAAUAAUAAUAAUAAUAAUAAUAAUAAUAAUAAUAAUAAUAAUAAUAAUAAUAAUAAUAAUAAUAAUAAUAAUAAUAAUAAUAAUAAUAAUAAUAAUAAUAAUAAUAAUAAUAAUAAUAAUAAUAAUAAUAAUAAUAAUAAUAAUAAUAAUAAUAAUAAUAAUAAUAAUAAUAAUAAUAAUAAUAAUAAUAAUAAUAAUAAUAAUAAUAAUAAUAAUAAUAAUAAUAAUAAUAAUAAUAAUAAUAAUAAUAAUAAUAGAGAAGAGAAAAAUUAGAUCUAGGGUUUCUUUCUUUUUCUCCAAUCCAAAAAUCCCCCCUUUUCACAAUAGAUUCCUCCCUUAAAUACUCUCUCUCUCUUCUCCUCUAGAAUUCUAUUUAAAAUAAAAUACUAACAUCUGAAAUAUUAAAUUCGUAAUUACAAAAAUAACCAAAAAUACAAAACACGUUAAACUAAAAACUGCAGGUCCGCAGUUGACAGCACGCGCCCACGCCUUAUCAACAAAGUUCUUCUGACGCUCAUAAUUUCUCCAAGAGAACAAUCAUCCUUAAACAUCAUCUUAUAGCUCAAUUUUAUCAUCAAUCAAUAGAAUUGCACCUACAAAAGUAAAACAUAAGUAAAUCACUAUUAUUAAGUGCAAAACAUUGAUAUUAAGGGAAGUAAAUAAUGCAAAACUAGUGCAUAAAUUGCACUCUAACAGUAAUCAGUAAUCAGCAUUAAAAAUUAAAUUAAAUUAAAUUUUUUUGUUUUUAAUAUUAUUUAGUUAUAGACUUAUUAUUAUAUUUAUUCGUUCAUAAAACUAAAUAAUGUUAAAUCAAAUAAAAUAAUCAGGAAUGGUUCUUAAAAAAUUAAUAUUAUUUAUUUUAUUUUAUUUAAUAUUAUUUAGUCAUAGCCUAUUAUUCUGUUUAUUUUUUGAAAAUUAAAUAAUAUUAAAUAAAAUAGAAUAGAAAAUGUGAGUCCUUAAAAAUAAAAAUUAUUUUUAAUAUUAUUUAUUUUAUUUAAAAGAAUAAAUUUUUUAAUAUUUUUAUUUUAUUAAAAAAUAUUAUUUAAUAUUAUCUAGUCAUAGGCUUAUUAUUAUAUUUCUUCUUUUAGAAAGUUAAAUAGUAUUAAAUGAAAUAAAAUUACAUUUUAGAAGGUCAUUAGCCAAAGCACAUAAACUUAUAAACAAAUGGAAAUAAAAAAGGUAAAUAAUAUUCAAUAAAAUAAAAUUACAUUUUAAAAGGUCACCAACCAAAGCACAUAAUAUUAUAACAAAAAUGUAAAUAAAAAAGAAAGUAAGAGAUUCAAUGAAAUUUAACAUCACAAAAGACAAUUUCAAAAAUUGGGGGUAGCUUGCAACUGUUGCAAAGUGGCUGGUUCCAUAAUUUUGAGAUAAUGUUUCGGUUUCAAAUAUUGUUAUCGAUACCUAAUUAUAAGUAAUAAAAAAAUAUUGUAUAAUUUUUUUACCAACAUUUACAAUACAUUUUAUUUUGAUUUCUGAAAAAAAUAGAUAAAACACAAAUUAAUUAUUUUAACCCUCUAUUCUCUCAAUAUUUAAACUCGAAUAAUCAGUUAAAAGUUGCUCGAGAAUGUUUAAAAGCCAUUUAAGUAUACCACGUCAUUCAUGUUUUGCAAUCAUUCAAUUGUUAAUAAGUUUCCCAUGUGCUGAAAAUAAAUAAAAAUGCACGUGCAUAUGUCAUAUUGUCUCCGAAACCUCACAGCGGAAUGAGUGUAGUACUUGCAAUGCAUGUACUUUAGACUUUGUAUUUCUCUUAUUUAAAUGAUCAAUAAUUUUUCUUUGUCCUUUAAUUAGACGUCAACAGUCGAAGUUGUGGGCAGGUAGUAGGCUAUAUAUAAUAAUUUCCUGGAGAUCUUCCGUCUUCUAAGACAUUGCAAAUGCCAAACGUGAUAACUAUUUUGAUAAUUCAAAUACUACAUAAAAUAUAUGAAGUGUCAGACAAGUCAAAAGAAUUGAUUCUUCACAAUUGUAUAUACGUAUACACACACUUUGCCCAAAUCCCAUUGUAUCCAGGCUGUAAUUUUUAUAUUAAACGAACAUAUUUUAUUUUAUGUCAGCAAUAUUGAUGCAGGCUGGGGGAACAACAGCUUCAGGAUGGUCAACUACCCUUCGGAUCAUUGCAAGUGGGAUGGCAUCACUUGCAAUUCAGAUGGAAGCAUAAUCAGGCUAAAAUUAUCAUGGUGUGAUGUUGACUUCAAAAGGUAAUCUUCGUAAAAUUAUCAUGGUAUAAUAUACGUAUUUAUUUUCGCAUACAUAAAUAAAUAACAAAAUUGUAAUUAAUUGGAUACAGCUUCAGCUUUUGGACUGGUUUGUGAAAAUCAGAAAAAUUUAAAAAUGCUCCUCUUGAACAAUCAAAAUCUACUUUAUACGUGAACAAAGGGGAUGAUUCGUAAAGAUAGUUCAUCAAUGUUUGAUUGCUUUCAAGCGUGUCGAUUACUUUCAGAAAGAAAGACUUCAUUUGAUCUCGUCACAAAACAUAAUUUCACUUUGAAUUUGAAAAAGAAUAAUGAAGUUCAUACAAGUGCUGUUAUGACCUUUUUUUUUUUGUUUUCUUUUUUUCUCGACGUUGUUUUGUGAAUCAUAAGGGUUAAUUUAAUACGGUGGGUUCGCUUGUAUGAAGCGCACUUAUUGUACCAUUCUGUUGCAAGCAAUGAAAAAACGCUAUAAUUUUUUUAAGUUUCUACAAGUAUUAUGUUAUCUUAUAUCUAAAUGUGCAUCUCUAGUCUUUGCUCUCAGUUCAGGUUCUCUAAAAGUAUAUUAAUUAUGAAAAGCAUUAAAGGUUCCGAAACUCUAUUUUGCGGGGAAAAAGAACCUCCAUUUUUGGUUUUUUAUUAUAUGAGAUUUUACUAUGCUCGUAAUAACUUAAUCGAAAUUAAACAUAUCACUGGUCUACAUUUUUUUAUAAGAUUUUGUGACUUGCUAAUUAAGAUGAGUAUCACCAUCAAAUCAACAAGCUUAUACCUUCAAAGAAAAAUAGACUAUAAGUCGGGAGAAAGAAGAAAAAAAAAAAAAAAAGAAUCUUCGCAAUUUAUGCUGUUGGUUGUGAGUUCAUGAAACAAAUAAAAAUAUGAAAUCAAACAUUUAUUCAAAAUUUAAAAUUAAAAAAAAAACUCUAUAUCUACAGUAAUCUGUUCAAACCACAUAGGUGGAGCAAUAUAGUUCCAAGACGUGGUUUUAAAACAUGUCUUUGUGAUAAACAAUAUCGUGAUACUUGCGCCAAUUCCCAUGGCAAUAAUUGCCUACAUUUAUCCAAGAUCCAUGGCCAGGUUUAGAAUGUGCUAGUCUUCUUUCACUUUCAUAAAUAACCACUACUAGGUAAUCAGAGUGUCGGUCUAAAUUUUUCGGAGAUACAACGUCAAUGUAUGUGCCCGGAGUUGAAGCUGAACGCGCUUAAAUAUGUUCGGAAUUUGAAGUUGAACGCCUGGAAAAGGAUGCAGACUGAAGAAAGGCAAUUCCUGGAAUUUGUCUUUGGUAAGAAAACAUGGCUGCUUAUGCCCUUUGAAAGACUGAAGAAACCAAAUUGAUUAUUGCUGCAAUUUAGUGGCACAUGUACGAGGAGAGGCAUCCAAUUAAACUUGUUCAUAAAAGUAUUGCUGAUAGUUGCAGCCGAUCUCCAGACAAAAUCUUCGUACAAUUUUAUCCGCCAGCAAUUUCGACCAAGAGACCUUGAUGCAGUUCAGACCAAUUCGCCAGUUGAACAUCAAGUUGCCUAGGCAUUGAGAAUUAGGUCAAUAAAAUAUAUCCUGGGUCACUUACAAAAGAUGAAAUAAGUGAAAAAGGAAAGAUGACGUAAUAAUUUCUUAGUGAGAAAAGUUAGUUAAUUUGCAAAGGUCUUAGAUAAUCAAUUUGAUGUAAAAAUAUCAAAAUUUUUUUUAAUCAGUGAAAUAUUCAACCUCUAGUUUCAGCACUACAAAUGAAUUAAAUAGAAUAAUGAUAGAUAUUUUAAAAUUUUAUCCCAAAUGAUGUGAUAUGUAAUGUAUCAUUCAUUAAGUAGUUGAUGAUUUUUUUAUAAAUUUUAAGUGGAUUAAUUAUAUUAUUUUACCAACGAGUAAAUAAAUGUCACAUCAUUAGAGAAGAAAUUUUAAGGUAAAACUUUUCAAAUAUAUAUCACUACUCCAUUAAAUAUGGUAUAAAAAAUCUAAUAGGGACCAAAAAUAUAAAAACCCAUUAAAAAUAAAAAAUAUAAAAGUCAAUUCCUAAUUAGAAGAAUGAAAGUUUGUUUCUCCUACAAUCAUUUCACUAGAUUUUAAAUAAAUUAAUUAAUGAAAAUUUUUAAUAACAAAUCGGUGCCUAAACCUAACGUCUUUUUUUUUUUGGUCUUAUCCACGAGGUAUCCUGGGGAGGGCCCCAACUGUGGGAGGCACCUUUAAGCCCGUACCACAACCCAGACUAGAAGUCCCCGCUCGAACCGGGAGGCACAGGUUCUCCCAACAAAGGCGACUUCCCCGCGACUCGAACUGGGGAGCAAACCCAGUCAAGCCACUUAAGGGGACUCCAUUGCCAGUGGAGCCAACACUUUGUUGGUUAAACCUAACGUCUUUGACAGUGCUGCCAAUAUCACUCACAACUUACAAGAAAAUUUUGGUAUUAAAUUUAUUAAUGUUCUCAAGGAAUUUUUAGUUUGACUUUGCAUUCUCAGACCCAUUUGUCACAUAACACGUUAGCAAAGACCUUUAAUGAGAAUAUUAAAACAGCUGUCGAAUAAGCAUCUUGACGACGACUUUUUGACAUAUAUGCAUGCCUCCUUUUGUGAACAAAUUUGAAACAUAAAAGAAAAUUUUGAUCCAUGUGAGAGCUGGAGUAUUUUAUAGCUUUUGACCUCAUUAAUUAUGAGUAAGGGAAUAUUUCUACGUCACUAACGAUUAACAUGAUCACUAUAUAAAGGGAAGCAAAGUAUGUUUAGCAUCAAGUCAGAAAACACAAUUUUUAGGAAAUGGGAACUCUAGGACAGGCGAAGCAAUGGCCUCAAUUGGUUUGUGCUAUGGCAUUUUUGCUCAUAGCCACCACAACCGCAAAGGCAUCAGCUGAUGAUUAUGGCCCAGCACCAUCACCAAAGCAUGCAAAGCACCCUCCAAGCCAUUACAAGCCACCGAAACCACCAAAGCACCACGAGUCACCACCACCAUACUACUAUAACUCACCACCUCCACCAGUACAUUCUCCUCCACCACCUUAUUACUAUAAGUCUCCACCACCACCUUCUCUAUCUCCACCACCUCCUUACUAUUAUAAAUCACCACCACCACCGAAACAUUCUCCUCCACCUCCUUACUACUACAAAUCACCACCUCCUCCUUCUCCCUCUCCACCUCCACCAUAUUAUUACAAGUCUCCCCCACCACCAUCUCCAUCUCCCCCACCGCCUUACUACUAUAAAUCCCCACCACCACCAAAAUAUUCUCCUCCACCACCUUACUACUAUAAGUCACCACCUCCACCAGUGAAAUCUCCACCUCCGCCAUAUUACUAUAAAUCACCACCACCACCAAAACAUUCUCCCCCACCACCUUACUACUACAAGUCACCACCACCACCAAUGCAUUCUCCCCCACCACCUUACUAUUACAAAUCUCCACCACCACCAAAGCAUUCUCCUCCACCACCACCUUAUUACAAAUCACCACCCCCACCACCACCAAAACAUUCUCCCCCACCACCUUACUACUAUAAAUCUCCACCGCCACCAAAACAUUCUCCUCCUCCACCAUACUACUAUAAGUCACCACCUCCACCUGUAAAGUCUCCACCUCCACCACCUCACUACAAAUCACCACCACCACCAAAACAGUCUCCUCCACCACCUUAUUACUACAAGUCACCACCCCCACCAGUAAAGUCUCCACCACAGCCACCAAAGCAUUCUCCCCCGCCAC